AAAAAUAUUUAAAACACUGAUCUCUACCAACUUAAGAAUAAUAAUUAUUUUGUAUUAUUUAACAUGAUAUUAGAGCAGAAGACUCUGCUCCUAGCAUUAUAAAUUUUCUCUCAUUUAAUUCAAAUCCACAUUAUGAGCCUUGCGAAAAAAGUUUCAAAUCCAAACAUAAGGAAAAAUGUUAAAUACAAAAAUAUUUAAAACACCAUUCUCUACGGGCUUAAAUUUUUAGAGAUCAAUAACGGUUAUUGUGUAUUAUUUAACGAGCAGCACCUCUACAAAACCUCCACCAUGUCACUCAAACAAGACCGAAUGAGAAUUUAAAGAAGGGUUAUCUCAACAGCAUCAUUUAUUACUAACUUGAAAAAAUGGAUGAAAUUUUGAUUAAUUAAGGCUAUAAUUCUACAUCAAUCUUGUUUCUCGAAGGUUUUUCCAAUGUAAACUUAACAAGAUAAGAGAGCACAAGAAGAACAAGAAAUUAUACAUCAACACCAAGUACUACCAAAAGCUUUACUUAAUCUACCUCUUAUCGACGACGCUAAGGUAUUAAUAUCAAUAUUACUUACUUUCUUUGUAUUCCUUUCCCUGCCUCAUUGUGCGAUGUACAUUGAACACAUUACAAGCUCUCUCCAUCCCUCAAAUCAGUCACGCGGCCCUCCCACAGCAGAGAUUAUUCCAUCUCCUCUAAUACACUUAUCUGCAAGCAUAAAAUAUUUCAAGUCACUAACAUCCAAACCACCGAGAAAAUGCCGAUGGCUGCUGCGGUAAUGACUUUUUUCUUUCCUCCUUUUUUAUAAGUGAAGAUGGUUUAGUCACAAUAGCAAUGAUGGUGACAAAAGGCGGUGCACAGUUCUUCGUUCUCAAUUUAUUUUGUUUUUCUUUCCAUGUUUCAACUCAAAGUGAAAAAUAAUUAAUAAGCUAGCUCACCCCUUUGUGCUUCGUAUACUAUACCGUAGGCCGCCACAUUGUCUUUUGAACAAAUAGCAACCCCUCUUUGUCCUUCGAGUAGGUCAUGCGGACCUUCCACUGCAGAGAUUUCACCACACUCUCCACCUCAUUUAUUGUCUCGACAUUGUCUCGAAUGAUCAACUUGCCUUCUGGUCUCAAUAUCCGGUCCACCUCAACAAUCACAGGCAAUAAUUUGCACCUAGAGAGAACAAAAUCAAAUACACCUCAAGACCAUUAACAAGUGGGUCGGCACAUAAACAUCCUGUAGCAGAGUUUUUAAAUGGAAAAAGCAAAAAAAAAAAAAAACACAUGUAUGAUAGAAUGGAGAAAAAUCACUUAUGUACUGCUUCCGUGUAGCAUAACCCAGAGACUAAUCAAACAUUGUCACAUAGAUAAAGAAUUCAAUUAACAACCUUCGAAUAUCUUUUCUACUUGAAAUUAUUAAAAUACUGUUGACCCGAUUACACAAUUGGAUAUACCAGUAUUAAUUCACGGCAUCGUGAAACGUCCCACAUCAUAGGGCUCACAGAAGAGACUUUGUUUGAUAGAAGGUCUAAGGUAGUCCCACACUUAUCUCAUUAUCUCUAUAUCUAAGUGAAUAGAAACAGUUAAGAAAAGUGGUAUUGGAUUUAAGCAUUAAGAAUCUUACCUCCUUUUUAGAUUGGAGAAUAGAUGAUCUGCAUGGAGGAGAUCGUAAGUUCUUGGAUAUGUACUAAAUGACUCACACCAAUCGUGGUACAAUCCAAAAAGCCCGCGCUCAUAUAUGAUGGGAAGUGUAUCUGGUGAAUUGAUCGGCACAAUAUUCAUUACCCACACCUUCAUCUCCCUUAAAGCUGCGGCAAAACUGUAAAAAAAUAUUGCAAAAGUAAUUUUUGCAUUAAAUAGCAUGACAAGAAGAGUUGAUAGGUUUAUUAUUUAAAAAUGGGCAGGUAAGGCAGCUAAUAGGUUUUGAGACACUCGAGCAAUUGCAGAAAAGAAGAGAGAAUAUCUAACAAUUCUGCAAAUUAUCACAAUAACCUGUUCACCAAAAGCUUCUAAAUAUUGGGAUAAGAGUGCACAAUAGCCAACACGAAAAAAGGGAAAACAGAAUAAAAUAGGCUACAUAAAUGAUAACUAUUUAGAAGAGAAUUUACGUAAGAUAUUAAGUUUGUACAGGGAUCCAUCUAUAAAUAAUCCAUAUAAUAAACUAGUUCAAUGUGACGAGAAAUGAGAUAUGCAUACCCCCCAUAUACAGUUUUCAUGUCCAUAACAUUCCUGAUGGUACUCCAAUCGAUUCCCAUGCCAUUAAUGUAUGAAUUGCGCACAACUCGCUUCCAAUGUUCGUAGUCUGCUAUGAAGUCUUCAGGGGCAGGCUUUCCAUACACUCCGAUUUGAGAACUACUCAUCCAGUAAGGUGUCUUCUCCAGCCUUUGUGGCCACUGCUCCGGCCAUUGUGUACCACGAAUUGCUGGAUCUGUUGGCAAUUUGUGUAUACAAGCUUGCAAGGGUAUAUUCCUGCAUGAUAAGAAAUAGCCACCGCCAACUAUGGCAAAUGAGAAUGCCGGAGAAGGCAACAAUGAUAUAUGCUUAUCAGCCUUGCUUCUAACGGUCUAGCUUGUAAAACAAUUUUUCUACAAAGAGAGCAACAGCCAGAAAUUUGGCGAACAAAAGGAUUAGAGUUCCAGGUCCCUGAAAGCAAAAGCUCAAAUCUGAGGCUUCUACUUCGGUGGGUGUCGCAUAGAUUACUUCCAUGCAAAAUCACAAAUACCCUGAAAGAAAUGUUGGUAUUGAUCGUGUGCCGCUGAAAACCUUGCUUAUUAGCACAUGCAACACUACAGGGAUAUCUAUGCACUACCAGCUUUCGCAUACAUCCCCCGGGCAAGGGCAUAAUGCAAAUAUUAUUUCUGAGGGGGGAUGGAUGCAAAUACCAACUGUCUGGAGGUUUUUAUGCAAUCUCACACAUUUGCAGAGGUUCACAUGCAAAGAAAACCGCUCUGCUUUUGAAUUUGUGGGAUGCUAUUAGGGGAUUUUAGUGGUUUUCCGAACAACUCUAUUUAAAAGCAAUCCUGCACAAUCUCCAGCAGGGCGAAAUAUGCCCUAAAUGAUAGAUGUACAUACCAGGCUGCAUCUGGAUCAUCAGAGUCUUGGCAGAGCGGUGGGUUCUGGAUUACUCUUUUCUCAUAGCAUUUGUUGUCGGUUGGUUUCCUGAAAAUUGCUAGACCAACUCUGUUUACUUUGUCCUUUGUUUUGUUCACCAUUUUCCAGCACAUUGACUUUGUUAGCGCAAACAUUGCUGCAAAUGUCCAAGGAAAUAUAAAUUAGAUCUAGGAAAACGAAAGUUUAUUCAGAUGCCAACUCAUUCUCUCUCUCUCAGAAGGCUUCGAUCAUUGUACUAGAGAAGUUCAAGAUGUCAGAGGUUUAUAAGAAAGAAAAACUUAAAUAACUAGAAAAUAGAGCAGAGCAGCUCAACAUGUUUGGUUCCAAAUAAUUCUUUAUUUAUUUCUCCCUAUCUCAAUCAGAAUAACUUGUAAGAACAGAACUAUACCAUUCCAGAUCUCAACAUCUUCUGGAAGCUUCUGGUAUACAGGAGUAGCAGACCACACAAAGUAACCACCAGGACGUAGCAACCGGUUCAACUCCAACAAAAGCAUACCACCUGCAAAUUACCACUAAUAAGGUCUAGGAGCAACUCCACAAAGCAAAAGAUGUCCAUAUACACCACUGGAAUACCAAUGCAAAAACUGAUUUUUAUAGUACCACUUGAUAACGUAAUUCUUACAAAAGCACUUUUAUCUAGAAUUAAAAAGUUAAUACAAUAUAUUAGAGCACGUUGGGUUUUGUAUUAGAAAAAUUAAAGAGUUAAUGCAAUUUAUUGGAGCAAGUUCGUUUUUGUAUUAUAAAAAGCUUUGUAGCUAAGUACGAGAGAUUAUAAGUAAAAAAAUAAAGUUUUUGAAGGUCACAUAUGAAAAAUCAGAUUUUGCAGGAACAUAUACAUACGCUAAUAGAUAGUGAUGAACAUGUAUGUAGGUAAAUAUCUCAACAAGGAGAAAUUAAAGUCGGUUGUAGAGCACCUUCAAUAUGCCAUGGGACUCUACAGCGAGCACAAUGAAUAACAUCAAAGACCUUGCUGGGGAAGGGAAGCCUCUUGGUGCCCAUGACAGCAGAAAUAGCUGGAAUUCCUCUCUCUAGGGCAAACUGUACUUGGGCCUCAUGCUCAUCUUUAGGUGCGAAUGACAUAGUAAGCACAUCUCUCUCAAAGAGAUAGCCUCCAAAACUAGCAACUCCACAGCCAACGUCCAGAGCUAGACGACUUCUCUUUCCCCACGCUAUAUCAGUCUGUGACUGCAGUUCAAAGAGCAGAGAGCACAUGUCAAUGAACAUAACAUACACUUAUUGACUAUAGAGGUUUCUUUUUUGUUGCUAAAAAUGUAUAUCCCUGCAAAAUUAUCAAAUUACACAUACAUCUCCCUACAAAAACUAAAUUUUCACAAAUGACCUAGUCAAAACAUUUUUCUCUUACCUAUAUACCCUUGUAAUCGCAAUAAUUGUCUUUUACUUAGAAAAGCUUUUCUCCAAUGGAAAGCCAACUUCCGGAAUGAAUAUGAAGACUCCCAAACUUAAGGGUAUUUUGUGGAAAACAACAAAAUUCAGAUUUUGCAGGGGUAUAUAUGUAAAUAGCUAAUUUUUCCAAGGAUGUAUAUGUAAAGGCCCCUUUUGUGACAAGCAGGGUAGCUUAUCCUUCCCUAUCUUCACUGCAUGUGGCAAAAUGCAUUCAGAUUUCAGAAGAUACAAAACACACUUAACCUAUGAAGGUUUGUAAGUCACAGAACAUGUAAUAUUCAUAGCUCAGUAUGGAUAUAGCAUUAUAGGCCCUUGCAAACUGAAACUAGAACAACAGGAAACAACGAAAAUAGCGACCAUUUAAAAGUACAAGCAGAUAGAUGUUAAGUUGUAAAGAAGCUCUUCUUCUUCAACAAAACAAAAAAAGAAAAAGAAAUUAUGAAGCAGUUGAAUUAGCAGGAAGAUCUACAAUUUGUUAUAUACAAUUAUCAAAAUCUGCAUACACAACAUAUUCACAAACUUUUAAUAUGUGAUAAUAACAGUAGAAGGGGAAAAGAGGGGGUGCAAACCUCCUGAAUGACAUCUAUGUAGUGUAAAGCACCAUGCUUGAAUUGGGUCCCGCCUCCAGGAAAAGUGAGGUAUUCCCCAGAAAUCUUGAGCCAGUUUUGGUGCCCCUUGUAAUCUACAAGCUUGGUAUGAGGGACAUUGGAGUACCAUAUCUGAGAUAGAACCAUAUAGUUUAGAUACAAAACUAGUGCUUGUUUGGCCUGGCUUUUGAAACAGCUUGUCUAUUCUAGAAAGCAACAAUAGAACCAUAAAAUCACAAUUCAGAAUUAGUUUGGCCUAACUUCUGAGACAGCUUGUAUACUCUACAAAGUAAAAGCUUCCAGAAACAAGAAAUUCAGGCAACACACAGCCUGAAGCUUGUGGUGUGGUGAGAAGAUAAAAUGAAUUUUGGUACCCAAAAUAAAAAGCUCUCAUUUGAAGCUUCUACUCUUACAGAGCAAAACACUUUAGAGGAGACUUUAGUAAGACGGGGGAGGGAAUUCUAUUAGCACUUCUUUGAAGAUAUCUGAUCAAACAGGCCUUUAGGCUUCAGGCUUAAGAAUACAAAAUAGAAGUCAAUUAAGACAAUACAAGAAGCAAAAGAUGGACCUUGUCUCUACUCUUUGGCCACUUUAUAGGCCGCUUAUAUCCCUCUGGAAGAGGUACGAGGCAGGUUGGAGACUCUUCAGGGCAAUGCCUCUCACGAUGUUCGUAAUGUUUAGUACUUCGAAGCUUCUUGAUAGCUUUCUCAUUGUCAAGACACGGUAUAUAGUCCGUCCCAGCUGUGACAUUACAUAGUUUCCAACUAUAAAUUAUUUGGCUUUCUGGCGAUGAAGAUGCCUGCAAUUCUUUCUCCUUCUCUGAUUCUGCAUCUUGAGUAGACCAUGACCCUUUCUGUGUACUGGUCAUGUUCAAAAGUUCCAAUUGGGCCCCAUCAGGAAGGAUAUCCUUCGGUUUCAAGCCCUUCAUGUCUUCAAUCUCUUCUACUUUCUUUUUUUUGGAAUUCUCUCCUAUAGUAUCAGUAUCUCUCCUCUCCUUAUUUGUUUCGCCUCCUUCAUUAGUCUGCUUUAGAUCACCGAAAUCUGGAGUUUUGUUUUCCAGUUCUGUCAAAACUUCCUCAUUCUCUUUCAGAGGCUCCUCAUGGGUCUUCUCUCCCAACUUCUCACCAGUCUUCUCUAGCUUUUCUUCAUCCAUUGAAGUCUCUCUGUUUGGUUCAUCAACAAUAGUGUUUCCAUUGUUAUCCCCCAAAUUGUCCCCAGAAGGCUGCGAAUCAACCCCAGGGACUUGAUCUUUAGUCUCAGAUUUAGCGUCUUGUAAAGAAAUCUCCUCUGGAACCACUAUUGUGGACGAAAACAUCCAUAUACCAACCAAACAAAGAGCAACAAAUAUAACGAUGGUUGGUGUCGAGCAGUAUGAAGGCGACGUCCUCCUAAUGUCAAUGCGCGUUACACUCUUACCAGAAGCCAUAUUCUUACAUCUAGAAGCCCCCAAAAUAGCUUAUCUAGAAAGACAAACAAAAGGAGGCAUUGAUCAAAUUCCGGUAGCUUUCCCAGCAAAAAGGAUAGUCUCAUAUAUCAGACGUACAUAAAGGUUUUCUUUGAUCUUUACUGCAGGUUAAUAUAUCUGCUUAGUAUUGUGCUAUAGACUCUAAGUUGAAUGCCCCUUUGAAACCAUACGGCUGCAAUUUUUCAUAAGAGAACUCUUUUACAAGAUCCCAAUAGAUAAAACAAUUGAGAUAGGAAAUUAAUCAGUAUAAAUUUAAAAAUUUCCUACUCAAAUAACUCCAACGUUCAUGAAGAAUUGAGCUAGAGCACUUCUAGACGUAACGUGAGCUUAGUACUUCCACUUCAUUUUCGAUUAUGGGGCAGUCAAACUGUCAAAGCAACAAUCAACACAACUAAACAUGAUGUAGGGCAUUUGAUUUUGAACAUUGUGGGAACCAAAUUUUGCAAUUUUUCAACAUCAUUUACUCAAGUGGUCUCAGAAUUGACAGUUUAACGGCUAUGAGAAGUUUUGUUAUUUAACGGCAUAGAAUACUCCAAAUAGGUUGAAUUUUUGACAAAUUUCUUUUAACUAUCUAAAUAAAGAACAAAAACACUGGUUGAAUUGAAGAAACCUAUCAACUAUCUCUGUGUUUGUUUUACAUCGCUCAUCUUUUGUCUACUUGAUGCAUCACACAAUAAUUGUCAAAAAAAAAAAAAAUGAAAUUUAGCUCGUAGAAAGUUCAAAUACAAUAACUGUUUAAUAGUAUCAAUCAUCAAUAUAGAUGCCUUAUCAUCGAAAGUGAAGUGGAAGUGUCAAGCCCUCGGUACUUCUGGAAGUAUUCUAGCUCAACUCCCAUUAUGAAUCUAACAAUUCUCUACUCAAAUAACUCCAAAAAAGCAUUUAGAUACCCGCAGUAACUAUCAAAGGAAAAAUACUACCACUAGUUAAUUAUCAGUAACAAUCGAAACACGCAAAGGCCACAUAAAUGAUCCAAUACUCUUCAUUAUAGUAGUAAAUGAUCAGGAACAAACUCUCAUUAAACCUCAGCAUCGAAAUGCGUAAACAAGAAGGGAAAUUAACGAAUAUUCCAGCUAUAUUUAUAACAACAAUUCAAACUUAAUUAACAAAAAUAAACAUAAAAACAUUAUCGAUGCUUCUUAGACUUAAAAUGGUGAAUUAGAGUUAAAUCUACACCAUCUAAGCUGAUUCCCCUUCCACUCUAGCAGAUCCAAAACUAAACUAAUCCAUGACGAAGCUGAAUCCAAAUUUUACUCAUAUCUCACUCAGAAACAACUAUAGAAAGCUCGGAUCUACCCAAAAAUCCCCCAAAAAGGCCCAAAAAUCGCUGGAAAAGGAAGCAUCAGCUACCAAAUCGGUGGAUCCUUACCUCAUCUAGCGGGAAACAGCUUCUGAUCUCGUAGAUGAGGGGUUUUCCCGUUCCCCCGCUUCGCAGGGCUUCGACGAGAUGAAUCGGGGGGGAAUCGAUUGCAGCGUACGAACUUUUGAGAGGGAGAAAAGGGGUCGAGCAGGUACGAACACUUUACCAUCUUUUGUCCUUUUUUGAAAUAUAAAUAUAAAAUAUGAUUCGAAAACUAGUGAUUUAAAUAUUAAGUAAAAUUGUACAGAAACCCCCUCAUCUGUUAUUUGAGUUGAGAAAACCCCUCAACUUUAUUUGUCUGGAUUAUCACAUAUUUUAAAGGGUUAAUUUCAUUUGUAGUUUCUCUCUCAAAAAAAAAAAAAUUUUAUUUGUAACCCCACAAAUAGGGAUGUCAACGAGCCGGAUACGAGAAUUUUUAAAUAUCCGAACCCGAAUCCGGCUACCAAAUCUAAAAUUUUAAACCCGAAUUUAAAUUCGGCGGAUUUUAAAAAUUCAUAUCCAAAUUCGAACCCGACCAAAAAUACGAAACCGAACCCGCAAAUCCGAACCAGAAUCAAUUAUUUCUCUUUACAAUAUUUAAAAAUAUAUUAUAUUUCAAUAUAAAUUUUUAAAAUAUAAAUUCAAAUAUAAUAUCAAAUAUAUAUAGAGAGAGAGAGAGAGAAAAAACUAGACUAGAAUACUAUUUAUAUCACCAAGUCAUUAGUACUAUUAAGUUUUCGGUUCUUGAAUAAAACGAUGUACGAUUAGAAUAAUAGUGAUCCCUUAGGAUUGAGUGAGUAGUUGGUUUAAUAGUUUGAUCUAGCGAAUGAAAAUAAUCAAAGAGAUAGAUCAAACAGUAUAAAAUUUGAUAGUACCAAGUACUUGGUGUUAUCAAUAACAUUAUAGCCGAACUAUAAAUAUAUAUAUAUAUAUAUAGAGAGAGAGAGAGAGAGAGAGAGAGAGAGAGUUGAGCUAGAAUACUAUCAAUAGGAAACGAGCUUCGUUGCCACCCAUUUGUUUUCGAUGAUAGAGCUUCCAAAUUAACGUUCGGCACUGUUGAACAUGAUUUAUACCACUUGAAGUGCUUAGAAAGCAAAUUUCAAAUCUUUUCGACAUUAUUUGCCUAAUGAUCAAAGGGUUUCAAAAUAUGUAAUUUUAAUGGUCGGUAUGAGAAGUUUGCUCAUUUAACGACGUAAAAAUAUCGAAAUCAAUUAAAUUUUUGUUAAAUUUUUUUUAAAACUAUUUACAAUAAGAUCUAUACUCUUGAUCUUCAUUACAAAACUCCUAUCGUCAUUUUUUGAAAAAUAUUAAUUUUCAGUUGUUCAUUUUUGUGUCUACUUGAUGGAUAAGAAAAUAAUAUUGGAAAUAUAUGAAAUUUGAUUUCUAAACACUUCAAAUAGUAUAGAUUUUGUUCAACGGUGCCGAUCGUCGACUUGGAGGCUCCAUCAUCGAAACAAAUGGGUGGCAACGGAGCCCGUUUGCUGCUAAUAGGAUUCCAGUCAACUCUCUCUCUCUCUCUCUCUAUAUAUAUAGAGAGACUCUCUCUCUCUCUCUAUAUAUAGAGAAAGCGAGAGAAAGAGAAAGCUAGGCUGGUAUACUAUCCGUAGCACGCAGGCCUCUAUACUAUCAAGUUGUUUUUUAAUGAUGCGACUUCCAAAUCGACGAUCGGCUUCGUUAAACUUAAACUACACUAUUAAAAGUAUUUGAAAACUAAAUUUCAUAAUUUUUCGACAUCAUUUGGCUAGUGAUUAAAAUGUCUCAAAAUUGACAAUUUUAAUAGUCGAUGUGAUGCGUUUGUAAAUUUAACGGUGUAAAAUAAUCCAAAUCUGAUAAAAUUUUUAUAUAAAAUUCUUUUCACUAUUUAGAGUACGAUCAGUAACUACGAUCAGUAACUCUGAUCAUAAAGUAAACUAUGUCGAAAAAAUAUAAAAUUUUAUUUCUAAAAACUUUAAAUACUCUAGAUCGGUUUUAACGGUGUGGAUAGUUAAUUUGAACACCCUAAGAUCGAAAACGAGACUAUAGUACCGGAGCCCCGGUACUAUAGAUAGUCUUGAAUACAAGACUCCUACCAUCAUUUUUUAAAGAAUAUUUAUUUUCAGUCGUUCAUUUUUUCGUUCAAUUGAUGGAUAAGAGAACAAUAUCGAAAACGUAUGAAAUUUAAUUUCUAAACACUUCAAGUGGUAUAGAUCAUGUUCAACGGUGCCGAUCGUCGAUUUAAAGGCUCCAUCAUCGAAAACAAAUGGGUGGCAACGGAGCCCGUUUGCUACCGAUAGUAUUCUAGCUCAACUAUAUAUAUAUAUAUAUAUAUCGUAGGACUUGUACUAUUAGGAGCAUAGCAGCCAUUGUGCUCCAAAGUUCUUAACCAUUCAUCAAUUUUGAUAGGUGCACCUAGUUUUUUUUUCCAAUUUCUCCUCUCUCUCACCCUAAUCAUCCAUCAAAAUUGGUGGAUGGUGAAAAACUUAGAAGCACAAUGACUGCCAUACUUUUAAUAACACAGUAGUCCCACUCUCUCUUUCUCUUUCUCUCUUACUCGCUCACUCCCUCUCUCUCUCUCUCUAUAUAGGAGCAAUUAGGCUACUAUACUAUUAAUAACACCAAGACAUUAAUGCUAUUAUAUUUUCGGUUCUUGGAUGAAAAAAAAUGCGAUUAGAAUGAUAAUAAUUCCCUAAGAUUGUACUAUUAGGUGACUAGUUGAAUAGUACGAUCUAAUCGAUAGAAAUGAUCAAAGGUAGCACUAAACACUUCGUGCUAUCAAUAGUACAGUAACCAGACUCUCUCUAUCUAUAAACUCAUAUUAAUCCCCUAAUUUUGUCCAUGUGGCAUGCUUUCCUUAACCAUUGGCUGUGAGGCCCACCUUCUUUAUUACUCAUCUCCUUUUCUUAAACCUACUUUUUUUUAGAGAUAGUUUUUCCUUCCGUCUCUUCGGUAGAAAACAACUUUAUACUGUCUAUUUGGUUUUCGUGCUCCCCUCCUAAAGAUCAUUUUCCUUCUCUCUCUUUAGUAGAAGAGAACUUUAUUCCGUUUAUUAGAUUUAUGUGCUCCGCUCCUAAACUCCUCAAAAUCAACUUGAAAUCUCACUUCUCUUUUACCAAAAACCUUUUACAAGCUGUCUCCCCUUCCCUCACCCCACUUCCCUCAGUGCGGUUGUUGGUGCGACCGAAAUCGAGACAUGGAACGUGACAAGGACCGCAAUCAAGAUUGAGAGCACGAGAGAGCACCACAUGUGCCCCAGUGCUUCGCAAUCCCGAACCCUAGCUACCUGAUGGCCCCAAACCCUAGCAUCGAGCCUCUAGGAUGGCUCCAAACCGAGUGGUAUCGAAGUUGCAGCUAUGCACUCGAUGGGGAUUCAUGCAAUUGCGCCCGAGCAAUCGCCGGUGCACUAUGGGCAAGUUCCAAAUGGGUAUAUAGUAGUUCCUCCUCGGCAAGGGUUGAUCCCUCCCUUGUGGGUAUUUUUGAACUACUAUUUGCUCUUUAUGAUAAAUUUUAUUCUUUGGUCUUUUUUUUGCUAGAUUAUUAUCUAUGAUGAUUUGGCUUUGAUUUGUGAAUGAUAAAAGUAAGAGUUUUACAUUCAUAUUAAAUUUUAUUAAUUAAAUUAAUGAGUGGCGGUAUAUUAUGUUAAGUGUUUUGUUGUUAAUAGAGAUAAGCGCAUAGGAGAUGAGCCGCAAUAUAUAAUGUUAAGUGUUCUGAUAAGUUCUGUAUUGUCAUGCAAUGUUUUGAGAUACGCAUACGUUGAUUAUGAAAAUUGAGGGGAUGGGGUGAUGAGUGAAAAGAAGUUUUUGGCACCACAAAAAAAAAGAAGCUGUUGUUUGGAAAGGGAUUCUCUUGAUAUCGACAAUUGAUAUUUUUUACUAUAGUUUUGCAUUGUUGUUAUUAGUGAGAAACAUCAGCAAUCGCAAUUCUUGCGGUUGUUAAAGAUCACUUUCCCUCUAUGUUGGUAUGCGUAAAUUUAUCUAACUACAUUUCGUUUACACAAAUGACCAUCACCAUGCGGCUUCGGCUGAGCUUGCAGACGACAUUCCCAAGAACCAUCGGACCAAUAUCAGACAUCAUUGAAAAAAUUACAUAUUCAAAUUGCCCUUGCAUAUAAAUAGAAUCUUAUAAAGCUUCAAAACUUCUUGGGGUGCUCCUACUAAUGUUGCUAUUGUCGUAACUCGGCUCGGCGGUUCAUCGGCGUUUGUUGAGAAGGUAAUGCCUUUUUUUAUUAGUUAUACUAUUUCAUCCUUAUCGCGUGUAAAUUUAAAAUUUAUUUGAGUUUUAUAAUGAAUUUAAUUUAAGGCCGGCUUCUUUAUUUGGUGUUUGCAGGAGAUUGAAGUAAAUUUGAUAAUUACUGAUUAUUGUAUGCCGGGAAUGACCAUGUAUGAUCUUCUAAACAGACUCAAGGUACUCUUUUUUUAAUGCUUAAUUUGUAACAACACUUAUAAUUACUUUAAUUUUCUGUUUCCAAGUUUUUUGUUCCAAUUUAUUGAUGAAAAAUUUGUGAUAUUGUUAAUUCACAAAUCAUUUUUUUUGAAAGAUAUUCUAGAUAUGAUCAUAUCUUUAUAUGAAUGAGCCUUCUAAGAUAAUAAACUAUAAUAAUAUUUAUCCGUCGUAUCGCGCGGAUCUCUAAAUUAGUAUAUAUUUAUAAUCAAUCAUUCUCUAACCAUUUAAUGGUAAAAUAGCCACACCAAAGAAGUAUAGAUUAAAAUUUACUCUUUUUUAAGGUUCAUACUAUGUAUCUUACAGCAUAUACUGAUUUUUGUUUACAUCACAACAACAACAACAUGUGAUCAUCUACGCAACCACAGUAUGUGAUCUUGAAUUAAAGCUUUCAUUACUUUACUACACUAACAAAAAUAUUAUAUUUCCUUCAAGAAUGAUGGGCAUAAUUGUAAUUUCCCUCCACAAUCAACCAAUACACUUAUGUGAUAUGUACACAAGCAUAUCAACACCCACCCACCCCCACCGGCAAAUCCGAGCCCCACGAUCUCAUCUCGCCGGCCGCCGCAGCCGCACGAUCUAUAUCAAACGGCCCCAAAUGCCCCGACUCGAUUAAGUUAUAAUCGGAGUCGAACCGAAUUUAGCUCAAUUUAGACUCUUUUUUUUCCAUCUGCAUCCGGCCCGAUUUGUUCAAAAGGGUUUGGUCCAGUACAUGAGAAUGUCCUGCGGAAAUGGGUCCCUGAACCCGGGCGAAGCCAGACCGGACGGUUCGAAGUGGGGCAGAACUGGUCCGGGCUGAACCGGCUCCUCGAACACCCUCUCCCACUCCUUCCACCGCGGCUGGCUCUCUACCUCUCUCUCGCACGCGAACUCGGGCGAGGCCGAGUUCACGUGCUCGGAGCAGCUCGAGUCCGUGUGCAACCGGGGGAUCGAAUCAGACGGAGGAUCAAAAUAAGCCAUCUCGGUAAACGGUUGCAUAUGCGAGUGCGCGGGUAAUAGAACCGGUUUUUGUUCGGGGGGUGACAAACACGGCCUAAUCAUGCUCCCCGAACCAGAUGGUUUCCGGUCCGAACCAGUCGGCUUGUCGAGAGCACCUUUUUUGUUGUAGAUUCGGCACAGAACCCAAUCAUCUAGCUGCAUCAAGAAACAAAAAGCAAAAGUUAGAUAAAUAAUUGAAUUAUGACCUAUAAAUUCAAUGUGAUGUCAUUCAUAUAUCUGGAUUGUAGUGGAAAAGAAGCUAUGGAGAAUCAAAUGCUUUCACACCUAAAAAACAACUCGGCCAUGACAUCAGUCACAUCAUAUAGCAAGUUGCCAAUAGGCCAUGGCCCACAUAAAUAAUUCGGCCCACUAAGAUUGAUAGCGACGCGUAACCGACCAAUAAUAAUUCGACAAGUGGUCGCCGUAACAUCACGCGGCCCCUUUGGGCCGGGCCCAUAACAUGCAUUUAAUCAUGUGGGGCUCCGCAAUCCACUUGUCGUCGCGUGGCCCCACUUUUGAUCGGUUCAGUUCGAAUUAAUUCGAUUCGGUUCGGUUCAGCUGCUUACCCUGAGGCUGUUCUUCUUGCGGGCCGACCGGUCCACGUCAGCGAGCCGGUACUCGUGCAUGAUCCAAUUCGUUUUCUCGCCCUUGGGCGCCUUCCCGGUGUAAAAAACCAGGGCCUUCUUAAUGCCGACCGGUUUAGGCGAGCCGAUCGGUUUGUCCGCGCCCGUCGCUUUCCAGUAACCAGACCCGGCCGCCCGGUUCGGCCUCGACCCGUUCGGGUACUUUCGGUCCCUCGGCGAAAAGAAGUACCAUUCCUUCUCUCCGUACAUCGCCAUACCUGUAAUCACCAAAAUAAUAUAUUUAUAUAUUAUUUUAAAUAUACUCAACGUAUAUCAUCACGAGCACGAAUUUUAAAGCACGGGUGGUUCCUAAAUUCAUAAGCUAGACCAAGCCGGUCCUAUUUUGAUCCAGAUCAUCUUUUUUUUUUUUUUUUUUGAGAGAAAGAUAGUAUGUUACCCGCUUUAUUUAUUUUGUUUAGAAAUAAAUGAAAUAUGAAUCAACUAGAAUUCGAACUUGUGAUCUCGGGUAUCAACCACCAAGCCCUUUGCCACUUGCACUAGGGACGAUCGGUAGAUCGUCUGAUUUCGAUCAAGAACUGCUAAGAACAAAUCGAAUAAGGAGCAACAGUGUACCAGGGAGGUGCCACGGGUCGUACUUAUACAAGUCGACCUCGGCGAUGAUCGGGACGGCGAUCGGCAUCGCGGCGCACCUCCUGCAGAGGUAGUGCGUCACGAGCUCCUCAUCCGUCGGAUGGAACCGGAACCCCGGCGGCAGCUGAAGAUCGUGACCGCUCAUUUUUUUUUUUUCCUCUCGUCGAUCGAUCCCCACCGUCCGAUCGACAAUUCCUAAUCUCUAAGCUCCUUUUUUUUCUUUUUCUUUUUUCUUUUUAAUAUCUCCUCUACCUCCUCCUUUUGGAUUGGAGCUUAUUAUUAUUAGAGAGCUUGAAACUUGGGACCGGAGAGGAGCGCGUAAUUUAUAGAGGGGAGUGGGAAGGGGGAGAGCGAAGGGGAUGGCGACACGUGCGGCCUCGGGAGGCGGGGAGCUUCCAGAAGCGAAACGUGGGAACGAACCGCGCACACACGAGGGGGUAAUUCGGCGCGUGUUGACCGUUGACCCGCCCACGUGGCGCGCAUCGAGCGGCGACUGCGGCGCGGGAUUCUGUCACUGCUUACGUCUCGGUUUUUGGACCGACGCGCACGUCGGCAGCACACGUGGCGCUCGAUUAGCGGCGGCCGAUACAGAAGUCUUUCGUGGACCGGGGCCUCUAUCUAAUCUAUGAACUAUGCACAUUGUUGAUACCGGUUCGUUUCGCCCGCACUGUAUGGUAUGUGUCCUUGUUCAAUAAAAUAACCCAUUUGGCGUUGAUAAAUAUCUUGUACUUCGUAGAAUUUAUUCUUAAUCAAGUAAAAAUAAAUUGUACGGCGUGUUAUUCUCUAUAUAAACACGUAAAAUAUAUUUUUUAUUAUAGACAACGCACGAUUCUCAUCNGCAUACCAGCCUACUCUCUCUCUCUCUCUCUCUCUCUCUCUCUCUCUCUCUAUAUAUAUAUAUAUAUAUAUAUAUAUAUAUAUAUAUAUAUAUAUAUAUAUCCCCCAAAAAAAAAAAGGAAACUUGACUUUAAAUAUAAAAAAAUAAAAAUUUAAUCAUUACUAAACAUUUCAAAAUUCCAAAGUCCUCCGAAGCUUUGAAUUUCCAAUAUACCACCGGUCUAUAGACCGCGGUCCACGCAACGAGUUUCGCCGGUUCGUGGGCCCACGCAACGAGUUAUAUCUCGAGAAAGCAGGGUCCUUUCGGUGGGCCCCGCGGAUCACGACGGCGGGCCGCUCACGAGUCGACACGUAGCACGCGCGGGAGCUUCGAGGAAAGUAGCCUUGGCCUUUUCUAUUUUUAACUUUGAAUUUCGCGCCGGAUAAAGAGGUGGAUAAGGAUGAGCGAGGAUAAGGAAUCCCGAAUAAACCCAUUCCUUCGUUUUAAAUGGUUGAUUUUAAAAUGGUUGAUUUUUUCUUUUUGUUAAAAAAAAAAAAUUUUGUAUUUUAUAUAUUUUUUUAUUUUCCUCACGUGGGAUAGAAAUGAGUAGAAUAAUGGAAUAAGGAAAAGUUAUUCACGCACCUGGUGCACCGUGGAAAAUUCAAUAUAUAUCUAUUAUGAUGCUGAUAAAAGCAUAAGUUUUAUUUAUUUUUUAUUUCUAGUAAUAUUUUAAUAUACAGUCAUUUUAAAUUAUUCAUUGCAAAUAAUUUAUCAAAUAAUAAUUUAUUCUUAACUAUAAAUCUUGAAAAUAAAAAUAUCUAUCACUUUUUAUGACGAUAAAACUUUUGUAUUAAUAUUAUAUUUACGUGUUUAUCAAAUAUUUAUUUUCNGAUAUUUACGUGUUUCUCAAAUAUUUAUUUUUUCAUAAAUAAUGCAUAUCUAAUCGUACGCUUAUAUAAUAUCUAAUCGUAACGUAAUACCUACUGCCAUCUUAUUUAAUAUUUUAUAAAGACAAAUAACGUAACGAAAUAAACUUUUAAUUUCUCUUUACCUCUAACAGUUAUUUUUUUUUUCUAUUAAAUAUUUUUAUAUCAUUCAAUAUUCUUUUUUAAUGUCAAUCUUCAAACUCAAUUUUAUCUACCAAUAUAUAGCUUUUGUAUAAACUUUUUAUUAAUCGCAACCAAUAAUCAAAUUUUAAAUUUAAUUUAAUUUAAAUAUCAAUCUAAAUUUUAAUUUUAUUUGAUAUACAAUUUUUAUUUCAUUUGAAAUUUAUAGUUGAGAUUUAAUUAUAUAAUUUAAAUUUAAAUUUUUUAAAUUUUAAAUUAAAAUUAAAAUUUGAUUUCAAUUAUAAAUUAAAUAUAAUAUUAGAUAUUAAAUUUGAAUUAACAAUUCUAACUAAAGCUGAUUAAAUUAAAUUUUAAAUUUUGAAUUAAACAUAAAUUAAAAUUUUUAUACUUUUAAAUUAAAACAUAUAUUUAAAUAUUGGAUUCACUAGAAAUCGAAAAAUAUAGAGAAAUAUUCAAUAUAUAUAAAAAGAAAAAAAAAAUAGAACUAUAUAAUUUUUGUUGGCGGCAACUAUUUAAAUUUGAAUUAGGAUAUGAAAAAUAUUUUUGAAUAAAAUAUAAUAGAUGAAUUUACUUUUUCAAAAAAUUAAAUUUUUAUCGUAAAUUUUCUAAUAAAUAUGAUACACAAAUUUAGUUUGAUUUGAAAUAAUUAUUAAAGUAUAUAUUAACAAACCCAUUUUUUGGUUUAAAAAAAUUUUGCAUUCUAUUUGCGUAAAUAGAAAAAAAAUUUAUACACUAUCCAAAUUUUUUUCAACCGAAGAAUAUCUACUGCAGAAUAUUUUUCACAUACAUAAACACACAUAAAAUAUUUGCAAUAUCCAUUAUCAUUCAAUUAAAUCACUAAAAUAAAAUUAGAUUUAAAAAAUAGAAUGAUUUAAAAUAAAGCAUAUCAACUCGACUCAAAUGUUAAAUUUGGUAAGACUAUCAACUCGAAUUUAAAUUUUAUGUUUGGUAAGACUAUCAACUUGACUUUAAAUUUUAUGUUUAAUUCAUGAUUUUAAACUUGAAUCUAUAUUUAAAUUUAAAAUUUACAAUUAAUUUAUAAUUUUAAAUUUUGGAUCUAUCGUUAAAUUGUUUCAAACCAAAAAUAAUUAACUAAUUUGAAAAUAAACUGCUUAUAUUCAAAUUACGGACUGAAAAAAAACUUCAAAUUUUAAGUUUUUCUCAUAAAUUUAAAUCUGAAUCUAUUAAUUUAAAAUUUUGAAUUAAUUAGAAUUUUAAAUUCGGAUACAAAUUAAUAGAAAAUUUGUAUGUUGUGAAACAUAUAUAAAAAUAUUUACAGUAUAACUAAAUUGAAAAUACAAAAAACUUAUUUGGAGAUAAAUUAAAAUUAUAAAAAAUCAAAUUAUCGACACAUAGCACAGACAACAAUAUAAAUUUAAAAUAUAAAUAUAAAUUUAAUUUAAAAUUGAAGGUGACAUUUUGAAUUAAACAUAAAUUAAAAUUUUCAUACUUUUAGUUUGAAAUAUAUACUUAAAUUUUAAAUUUGCCAGAAUUAAAAAAAAUAUAGAAAAAUAGAACUAUCUGACUAUUGUCGGUAACAAUAAUUUGAAUUUCAAAGUAGGGCUACUGUUCUAUUAGGAGCACUGCAACCCUUAUACUUCUAAGUUCCUAAUCGUCCAUCAAUUUUGAUGGAUGGUUAGGAUGAGAGAAAAAAAAAAUGAUCAGAAAUUAAAGAGAAGAAAAAUUGAGAAAUCCAAUUUCUCUCCAAUUUCUCUUCUCCCUUUCAUCCUAACCAUUCAUCAAAUUUGAUAGGCGGUUAGGAACUUAGGAGCACAAAGGCUGCUGUGUUCCUAAUAGCACAGUAGCCCUACUCUUAAAUUUCAAUUAGAUAUAGAAAAUUUUUGAAUAAAAAUAUUAGAGAUGAAUUUAAUUUUUAAAACUUUAAAUUUUCGGAUGAAUAUGACAGACCUAAAAAAUAUUGCAUUCCAUUUGUAGAAAAUAGAAAAAUAUCUAUAAGGCACAUUGAAAAUAUUCAUACUAUACACUAUCUCUCAAUUAACUAACUAAGAAUAAAUUAGGUUUGAAAAAUAGAAUGAUUUAAAAAUAAGCCUAUCAAAUCAACUUUAAAUUUUAAGUUUGAUUCAUAAUUUCAAACAUAAAUCCAUAUUUUAAUUCAAAAUUUGAAAAUAAUUUGAAAUUUUAAUAUUUGGGUCUAUAAACAAAUUGCUUCAAACAAAAAAUAGUUAAUUAACUUGAAAAUAUAUCAAAUUUGAAAGAUAAAUGGGUUGAUAAAUAAAUCUAUGUCUCCAAUCACUAUUUAUAUUUAAAUUAUAGAUUCAAAAUUAGCUUCAAAUUUUGAGUUUUAUUCAUAAAUUCAAAUCUAAAUUUAUAAAUUUAAAAUUUAGAAUUAAUUCAAAUUUUUAAAAUUUAGAUAUAUAUACAACAAAAUUUGUAUAUUACAGAACACAUAUGAAAAAUAUUUACAGUAUAACUAAAUUAAAAAUAUAUAAAAUUUAGGCUAAAUUAUAUAAAACCAUCCUGUCAAAAUCUGAUUUUUCACUUUCCACCUUGUCAAUUAAAAACCUACACUUUGCCCCCUUCUAAAUGAAAAAUGUUCACGUCGCCCCUGCCGUUAGUAAUCUGUUGGGAUUCCGUUUAUAAAAUAUUAUUAUAUAUUUUUUUAUGCCAAAAAUGCCCUCAGCCUUCUCUCCUGAGGGGCAAAAUGGUGGGGGCAAAAUGGUCAUUUUAUCAUCACGGUUUAUACCGUACUCCCCUGUAAACAUUUUUUAUUUUACAAAGGAGCAAGUGUAGAUUUCCAAAUGACAGUGGGGGAAGUGAAAAAUCGGAUUUUGAUAGGGAGAUUUUGUGUAAUUUAGCCUAAAACUUAUUUGAAGAUAAAUUAAAGUUAGAGAAAAAAAAAAUCAAUUGAUAAAUGGUCUCAUGCCACCAAUAACUAUUUAAAUUUAAAAUAUAAAUAUAAAUAUAGUUUAGUUAAAUAUGAUGUACAUUGCACGUACACUAUAAGUAGUAAUCUAAAAAAAAAAAAGAAAAAAGAGCUAAGCCAUAAGGAGGGCAAAAUGAAAUUUUUUGAACCGUAGAAUGACAAAGUUAAAAAAAGCUACAUCAUAAUAGGCAAUUUGAAGCUUAAGAAAUUAAAAUAUUACAAAUGUUAGCCGUUAAAGUAAUUUUUUUAAGGAUAAACUUCAAAUACCACGCCUGUAGUUUCAUACUUUUUUAUUUUAGUACUCUAUGGUUUAAAGUGUAUAAAAUUAGUAUCCUGUGGUUUUAUUUUUAUUUUUUCGUCAGCUUUUUCGUUAAUAUUUCAUUAAAUUAUAUACAAAAAAAACUUCAGAUACCCCACCUAGGUUUAUCGAAUAUUCACUUUAGUACCCUUUAGUUUAAACUUUGUCACUAAUUUAACGAAAAAAAUUUGUGAAAUCGAUAAUAAAAAGAUAAAAAGAAAAACACAUGACACUAAAUUGAUACACUUUAAACCCCAAGACACUAAAAUUAAAAAGUGUGAAACCAUAUAGGUGAUAUUUGAAGUUGUCCCUUUUUUUAACUUCUAUUACAAUACAAUUUACUUUAUAAUUUUUUUUCAAAAAUAAAUAUAAUUUACUUUAUGUUCUCGGCUUUUUUUUUUUUUUAUUAUUUUGAACUUAAACUGUGGCUUCGGCCCUGUUGGAUACAUUUUGGCCUUAUUAUUUCAAGCACGUGAGAUGAGAAGGAUGUGUAUAGCGUGCGCUGAUAAUAAAUGUGUGUGGUUUCACUCCCACGAAUUGAGGUGAGAAUAAGUCAAAAUAAAGGACUGAUAAUUUCAAACUUUAGAGGCUUAUUAAUUAAAGUCGGUGAGUUUUAGCUAACAUGUAAUUUUCAGAAGAGACUAAGAGGCGCAAAUUUUGGGGGUUAACAUUGAAGAAUAAAUAACCGACCGUCCCUAGAGCAAGUGACAAAAGAGUUAGUGGUUGGUAUCCGAGACUCAAAUUCAAAUCCUAGUUGAUUCACAUUUUCAGCUAAGUUUAUUUCUAAAUGAAAUAAACGAAACGGAUAGCGUGCUACCUAUCUCUCUCAAAAAAAAAAAAAAAAAAAUGAAGAAUAAGAAUAGGAGAUGGACCAAAUGCGGAUUAUAGUAAAAACUUUCACUAGAGACCAGACAAAUCCUAAUUCGUCAUUACGUGUUACUUUUAUCUCUAUUCAAAGAUUAUAAUUUUUUACGGUAGAUUUAAAUUAUUCAAAACUAGCACGCAGUAAUAGAUCGAAGGAUCUUCAACGAGGUGUCGUUGGGGAGGCUCCCACUGAAGUUUUAUCACGGAGCAAUUCUACAUCUACAAUCAUUUUUUCAUUGUAAUCUUUAUCUGACGACUAAAAUUAUUCCGCUUGUCUUCUUCACUCCGCUCCUUUUUAAUAUUAAAAAUCUAAAAAUGGGUUAGCAUUUUUCUUAGGACUUGUUUGGUUCACUUACUUUAUACUAUAGAAUCGGAAUAAGAUUAAUUGAUUCUAAUAGUUGUUAUUUAUUUUCUAGGAACCAGAUUUCGAUUCUCAUUCUAUUUAUAGCACAACACGAUUUUAAAUCUCAGAUUGACCCGUUCCAAAAGAAACCACUCAAAACAGUUUCACACAAUUAUCUUCCUCUCCUCUUCCGUCAUCACUAACUAAAAUCCUAAAUAUUCGUCAGGAUUUUCUUUCUAAUAAUGAACCAAACAAUUUUGGCUGAUUCGUCAUUUCAGUUUUCAUUCCAAUACAAUCCAAUUCUAUUUCUCGUUAUUAUUCCAAUCAUAAACCAAACAUGCCCUUAUUGGUGUAUAUCAGGUAGAUUACAUUUUUGGUACUCAAGUUAUGAGGCAUGUGAUAGUUUGGCCCUCAAAUUUUAUUUUAUUAUAAUUUUUAAUUUGAACUUUUUAAACUAUUGUAAUUAAGUUUCAAAAUUCAAUUUAGUUAAUUAAAAAUUAAGGUAUUGCUAAUGUGAAAAUAAUGUGAUAUCCAAUUAUUACCACGUUGUCAAUCAUAACACUGUUACAACACUUCCAUAUCGACAUAUGUUAUACUUAAUUAACUAAAUUGAGUUGAGAGUUAGUUGCAAUAAUUUAAAAAAUUUGAACAAAAAAUUAUAAUAAAUGAGAGUUUGACAACUAAAGUAACACGCGUCUACCAGUUUGAAGACCAAAAGUAUUGUUUACCUAUAAAUAUUUGACUCCAGUUAGCUAAAAUAUAUAUCACAAAAAUUGUUAAUUUUGAAAUUUAAAUAUUAGGCAAAUAAUAUAAAAUCGUAAAAUAGGGAAUUUAAGAAUUGAAUAAUCUAAAUCAAGUUAUCGGUAUUGAUUAUCGAUUUGAAUGUCCCGUCGCUGAAAAACAAUCUGCAGAUAAACAUGCAACUUAAUUUAAUUCUAAAAGUAUACUAAUUUUGCUUUCCCUUUCUCAUAUAUUAUAUUCCAGCUAAUUAUUAUUCAAGAUAAAUUCCAGAGUCAAAUAUAUAAUUAUCAUUCACAAGGCAUAUGUAUUCUAGGGUAAACUUCAAAUACCUCCUUGUAGUUUUACACUUUCUCAUUUUAGUACGUUGUGGUUUAAAGUGUAUUAAGUUAGCCCAUGUGGUUUCACACUUUCUCACUUUAGUAUCCUAUGAUUUAAAGUGUAUCAAGUUAAUACCUUAUAGUUCAAAGUGUAUCAAGUUAAUACCAUACGGUUUUAUUUUUCUCUUUUUAUUAUCCAUUUCACUAAUUUUUUUCGUUAAAUCAGUGACAAAGUUAAAAUUAAAAAGUACUAAAGUGAGAAAGUGUGAAACCAAGGUAGGGUAUCUGAAGUUUUUUGUAUAUAAUUUAACAAAAUAUUAACAGAGGAGCCGAUGAAAAGAGAAAAAGGAAACCACAAGAUGCUAAANAAUACCUUAUAGUUCAAAGUGUAUCAAGUUAAUACCAUACGGUUUUAUUUUUUUUUAUAUAAUUUAACGAAAUAUUAACAGAGGAAAAAAAUUAGUGACAAAGUUAAAACUAAAGAGUACUAAAGUAAAUAUUCAAUAAAACAAGGUAGGGUAUCUGAAGUUUUUUGUAUAUAAUUUAACAAAAUAUUAACAGAGGAGCCGAUGAAAAGAGAAAAAGGAAACCACAAGAUGCUAAAUUGAUGCACUUUAAACCAAAUGGUACAAAAGUGAGAAAAUGCGAAAUCACCGGAUACUAAAUUGAUACACUUUAAACUAUAGAGUACUAAAGUAAAAAAAUACGAAACGAUAGGGGUGGUAUUUGAAGUUUUCCCUAUAUUCUAAUCCCUAAUUAUUAUUCAAGGCAUAUUCCAAAGUCACAUUUAUACUUUUCCACAUUUGCUCCAUCUCUUAUAAGACCAAAUAAAAAUUCUGAGUGUGUAUAAAUGAGUAUUUGUGUAAACUGUGGACCACCACAUCAGCUGUGGACCAUUUAUGGCAAUUUACCUUCUAGAUUGUUCGUCAGACUGACUUAUCUGUUUGGAUGAAAGUGGAGAAAGAAGAAGUUGUUUUCGAUCGUAAAUGGCUACUUUAUCUGUUUUAUUCGCCGUACACAUAAUAAAGAUAUAAUCGAAACUCCAGUUAUCCAACGUAGCAUAACUAAUUUCGAUCGCGGGUCCAUCUUAGACCUAAGUCAAUUACGACUUAAAAAAUAAAGAAAAAAUAAAAAAUAAUAUAAUUGGUAAUGCUAGCUAAAUUUAAAUGUAUUUGAUUAAUUUAGUUUACAUGCUUAAAAUGUGAUAAAAAUUGGUAAGUUAAGUUUUAAAAUCUCUUUCGUUUAGUUUGCACAUUUAAAUAUGAUGAAAAUUGAUUAGUUGAAUAUUAAUAUUUAUUUUGCUCCAUGAUUUUAUUAUUGCAUUAUUAUAAUUUAUGUAUAAAAAAUAAGUUAGUUGUUUUAGAUUAUAUUUUUUAAUUAUAUAGGGAUGUAAUUUUUUUUAUUAUAUUAGUUUACAUGCUUAAAAUGUGAUGGGAAUUAGUAAGUUGAGUUUUAAAAUCUCUUUUGUUGAGUUUGCACAUUUUAAAUAUGAUGAAAAUUGAUUAGUUGAAUAUUAAUAUUUAUUUUGCUCCAUGAUUUUAUUAUUACAUUAUUAUAAUUUAUGUAUAAAAAAAAUUAACUUAGUUGUUUUAAAUUAUAUUUUUUAAUUAUAUAGAAAUGUAAUUUUUUUAUUAUAUAAUAAUUUAUUAUUUAUCAAGUGAUUUAUAAUUUUUUAUAUUAUUCAUUUCUUGCCAAAUACAUAUCAAAAUUAGAAAAGCUUUGCUUUCAUAGCUACAAAACAAACAACGGGGAGAAAAUAAUUUUGUUCUAAACUUUUUUUCAACCAAAAAUUCAUUUUUUGUAAACAAAUAAACUCUAAAAAUGUGUUUGUUUCACUAAAAAUGGAGAGCGUAUAAAUUGGUUCUCCACCAUAAAUGAUUGUUCGGUUUACCGUAACAUCACCUUCAGUUAAAACUUGAACUCUUCAAAAUAUCGUAAUUGGCUUUGGUUCAUCCUAAACCGAAAUCAAUUACGAGAAAGUAGAGUGAGAUAAAAAUAAUAAAAUAUUAAUGAUAAAAAAUUUUAGUUUUUAUGUCAUUUACUUCCUAUCGAACAAAUAUCAGAAUCAGAAGCUUUAGUUCCACAGCUACAGCAACAAAAUAUGAAAGAGAAAUAAUUUUUAUCAGAACACUAAUUCAUCCGAAAGUCGACUUCAACCUGAACUUUACUUUUGAUAAAACAAAGAUGUCCUAUUAUUGUCGCCACUUUUUUUUUUUUAAAGAAAAAGAUUAUUGAAUUUGAAAAAAAUUUUCUAGAUGUGAAUAGCAUACAUAUAGGACAAAUAACUUUACACGCUAUAAAAAUUAGAAGGUGUGAGAACCAAACUCUGAAACUAUAUGGGUGAUACCUUUUAUAUAUGGACAAACUUCAAAUACCUUGUGGUUUCAUUUUUUUUCACUUUAGUACCCUAUGAUUUAAAGUGUAUCAAGUUAGUACCCUGUGGUUUUGCAUUUUUUCACUUUAGUACUUUGUGGUUUAAAAUGUAUCAAGUUAGUACCCUGUGAGUUUCGCCCAUUAUCACUUUAGUACUAUGUGGUUUCACACUUUAUCACUUUAGUAUCCUGUGAUUUGAAAACCACAUGGUACUAACUUGAUACAAAAAUUAAAACCACAGAAUACUAACUUGAUAUACUUUAAACCACAGAGUACAAAAGUGAUAAAGUGAGAAACCACAGGGUACUAACUUGAUACACUUUAAACCACAGGGUACUAAAAUAAAAAAAAGUGCAAAACCAUAAGGAGAGUUUUUGAAGUUUUUCCUUUAUAUAUUAUUUAUAAGUUGAAGUUUCAUUUCUCUAUUGAAAAAUUUUGGCUAAAAAUUCUAACAUUGCUGGUGAACAUAGAUAUUUGAAUAGUAGGGGUUCUUGCUUCUUUUUUCUUUUUUCUUUUUUUUUUCUUUUUUCUUUUUUUUUCUGAGUUUGUCCAUAGAUUCCUAACCCUGAGACACGAUUAUAAACCCAAUAUAAACACUACCUAAAAAGUCAGGGGUACAUAUCUGAAAUUUUCAUAAAAUUCACUUCAAAGUUCAAAAAUUUGACCACUUAUAUAACUGGUUAGGGCUACUAUACUGAGUGUAGACCCUUUUGUACUUAUAAAUUUUUAACCGUUGAAUAAAAAGAUGCGCGAUUAAGAUUAUAGUAAUUUAUGGUUAGGAGAAUAAAAGCCUCCUAGAGUUGAGUGGACGAUUAGUUGAAUAAUAUGAUCUAACGAAUAGAAAUGAUCUAACGAGUAGAAAUGAUCAAAGAGCUAGAUUUAACGGUCAAAAACUAAUGAGUACAAAGAGAUCUAUUCUCAAGAGUAUAGUAGCGGGAAUCUAUAUAACUACUUUAAAUUCAAAAACAACGGUUGCUGGAUUUGAAUACUUAAGUAAUAUUUAAUUUUUAUGCCCGAGUUAUAUUUAAUUUGGUUCGACAGAUCGUCCGUUCCAAUUCUUUAAAAGGCUAGUGACAUUUUUGUUCAUCAAACUAUGAAGCGCAUGACACUUUAGCUCUCAAACUUUAAUUAAUUAUAUUUUUUUAGUUCAAACUAUGAGACGUGAUAAUUUUGGUUCUUAAAUUUUCUGAAUUGUAAUUGUAUCUUACUUGAUAAUAUAAAGAGUAGUUACGAUGUUACAGCACUUCAAUAUUAGAAAAUUUUCAAUACUUAUUUUUUAAAAAAAUUGGUUGUGAGAUUUGAUUGCGACAAUUCAGACCAAACUAUCACAGGCCUUAUAAUUCGAGUCAGAAAUUACAACAAAUUAAAGUUUAAAAAUUAAAAUGUCACACGCGUGAUAGUUUGAGAACCAAAAGUAUAAUUUACCCUUAUUUAAACAUUGCUCUAAAGUAGUGGAAGCAGGGCCUAAAUUAGCUUAUUGUGCUAAGAGCAAUAAAAAAUACUUAUUAUACUUAACCUAUAUCAUGAUCAACUGAAUAAGUUAUUAUUUAAUAUUUUUAUUGUGUGUAUAUAUAGUUGCAAUAUUAUUGUCCACCUUUGUAGCACACAAACUUUAGUCAAACAUUUUCACCCACUUUGUUUACUAGUAUGUGAAUGUUGACAAUAUGAUACAGCAAAACACAUUAAUAGAGAAUUUUAGAAAAUUAUAUGUUGUUAUACAAAUGAAUCACCUAAUAUUUUUUUUAAUGAUAAUUGAAAGAAUUAUAUUAGAUAAUUAUAUGAUACCCAUUAUUUUUUUUGAUUGAUACAUUUUUUAACUUCUAUAUUUUUAUUUGAGUUUUUUCACUUAAUUAAGUUAAAACUUUUUUAAAAAAUUUAAAGCUCACAUAGUUAUUAGCAGGAUUUAUUUACUAUAAAGUAAUUAAAGUUGUUAAAUUUGAUAAAAUUAUCACUCAAUUCGCUAAAAUUCUCAAUUUAGUUGGUUAAAAUUAUUGAAUUUUAAAAAUCGAAUGUUAAGAUGACCUAAAUAAAAAAAAAAAAAAUUUAUAGUUGAGGGGGCUAUUCCCAAAUAAUCCCAUAGUAAAGCCUACAGGGCACCCUCCCCAGUUAAAUUUACUAAUUAAGCUCAUAAAAAAAAUAUAUACUUACUAAUUAAUGCAUCAUAUAUAUAAUAACUUACUUAAUAAUUAACUAACUAAUUAAUCAUUUAACUUAUUAAAUUAAUAAAUAUUUAAUUAAUUAGCUAAGUAAAUAAUUAAUUAUUUUAUUUAUGUGCUCAUCCACUAAGUAAUAUUCAUAUUAAUUAAAUAAGUAAUAUUUUGACUAAUAUAAUCUAAUUAAUUAAGUAAUUAUCAUAUUAAUUAAUUAAUAUACAAUUAUUUUUUAAUCAAUUAGCUAAUUAAUGUGCUUUUCUACUAUCUUGCACCAUACCAUAAUUAAAUAAUUAAUUAUCUUAAUAAAUUGUUAUUUUACUAAUUAUUUAAUGUUUGUUAACUAGAUAAAAUAUUGUUGGUUUAAAAUUCUAAUUACUUCUAAUUUGUUUGGGAUUGCGGAGAUUGGGUUACAUGAGGUAAGAAAGUACGAUAGAAAAAUAUCAUGUUUGUUUCUGUACAUAAUAUUACGUUCCGCAUAUUGCGAUUAGUCGGUUAUAAUAUAUUUUCUGCGGUCCCAUCGGAGAACAUAAAAGCAUAUUCCUAUAGUUUUUUUUAUAACCCCAUUUUAUCUAACAGCGUAAAAUAGAACUCAAUACCAAAGCUUUACUGUAUUAGCCAAACCAUCCAAACAUUCUUUUUCAAACACAAAAUUAGUUUAGUUUUUAUUUAUCCCAUAAAUUGUAUCUAUAUUAGAAAUUAGAAAUAAGGUAAAAACGCAUAAAACUUACUUCCAUUGUGAACCAUUUUGAAUCAGCUGUGCAACAUUUCGAAAUUUUGAUUUAACUAUCCAAUCGUUCAAUUUGUUUGAUCAGAGUCGGUCAACGAUAUUUUAACUUUAAAAUUUAAGCGAAUUACUUUAAUAAAUUUAUAAUUGCAAGAAUUAUAAGAAAUAUACUAAUUAAAUUUAUAAAAAUUAACAACAUCAUUUAAAUUUCAAAGUCAAAGCGCCGUUGACUAAUUCAAAUAAAACAAGUUGAAAGGUUGGCUAACAAACUUAAAAUUUUAAAAAGUUAGGUAGUCGAUUCAAAUAAUUCGUUAGUCAAAUAAGUGCUAUAUAUUUUUAAGUAAAAAUAAAUAAAUAAAUAUAUAUAAUUUUUCUGGACCAAAUGAUGAUACCUAUAAGGGUGCGUUUGGUUCUGAGUUAUCCUGUCAGAAUUACUGUAUUUGGUUCAUCCGCUAUAUAAUGUAGCAUUACAAAUCGAGCAGGAUUAUACCGAAAAUAUUAACGAGAGGGGGUCGUGUAUCUUGGAUUACUGAAAAUCGGUAAUACUAUAAAUUAUGUAAAAUAACAAUUUUACCCUCCAACACUCCCAAACCCAAUUAACAGCAUUGUUUUAAUCUCUCUCUCACGCGCUCCCCUCGCUCUCGCACGCCGCUAUCUUGCUCUCUCUCUCUCGCACGCUGCUCUGUCUCUCUCUCUAUCUCUUUCUCUCUCUCUCUCUCUCUCACGUCUUUUUUUUUUUUUUUUUUNAAAUGUUAGAAAAAAUUUCAUAUAUUUUUGUGCUCUAAUUAAUCAUUAAUCAUGUGUUAGUCUAAAAAUAAAAAAGCCUAGUUUAAUUUGUUGUGUGCAAAUGAUAAUUUUUUAUUUAAUUUAUUAUCAUUUAAUUUUAAUUUUAGUUUUUUAUUUAUAUUUUCUCUCGUCAAUUAAUAUUCAAAUGACCACAACAAGGGUAAUUUUAAAAAAAAAACUAUACUUUUAUGUCAGUAUACUAAAUUUUAUAGACUGAACGAAACGUAAUAAUGAUAUAAACACUGCAAUCUAAUAUUAUAUUACUGUAUUAAACCAAACGUGCUAAUGCAGCAUCAAUAGUAAUCUCACGCAAAAAUCUAAGAUACCUGAAUAUGUCGAGAUGCUCUUUAAUAUUACAUAAUUCGAACCAAACGCACUCUAAAAAUUGUAUGCAAAAUGUGGGAAAUAGAAACGUUAUAGUUUCCAGCUGUUUGCAAACAAAAAAGGCAACGUCGCGACUUUUAAAGCAGUGUAAACGGGACUACGGCAUAAUAGAUUCUCUUAUUAUUCUUUGAUUUGACCACCACUUAACUUUGCUUAAUGGAUAAUGUACCGGGAAUUUUAAAGCAUAAUAUUUAAGUAGGAUUAUGAUGCAAGUAAUUUGUUUAAUAUCUUUGUGAUUUAACCCGUUAAUUAUGAUUAGUAGAUAGAUAUUGAGUGAGCAAACCAAUCACAUUGUCUUUGUCAAGUAAAAUGAGAUAAGCCCAAGUACGGUUUUACGCGGUAGGUGUGGUUGGUGAUUUGGAUGCGAACAGGCCACGUGGACAAAUAUCUUGGUAGGUUUCAACCAUAUAAUAAUAAAAUAAAAUAAUUUGAAUUUGAAUAUAUAUCUUUGGGGAAACUCCUAAAACCCAAUCCAACCUCCCGUGGUUUCGUACUUUUUUAUUUAAGUACCUUAUGAUUUAAAGUGUAUCAAAUUAAUACUCUGUAGUUUCGCACUUUGUCACUUUAGUACCUUGUAAUUUAAAAUGUAUCAAGUUAGUACUCUGUAGUUUAUUUUUGUAUUAAGUUAGUAUCCUGUAGUUUUAUUUUUAUAUCAAAUUAGUACCCUGUGAUUUUUAAACUAUAUGGUACCAAAGUGAGAAAGUGCGAAACCACAGGGUACCAACUUAAUACACUUUAAACCACAGAGUGCUAAAGUGAAAAAGUGCAAAACCACAGAAUACUAAUUAACUUGAUACACUUUAAACCACAUGGUAUUAAAGUGAGAAAAAGUGAAACCAUAAAGUAGGUAUUUGAAGUUUUCUCUAUAUAAGAUAUAUAAUUAUUACGAUUAGUGCCUCUCCAGCUAAUAACUUAGAAUGUGUUUUCUUAUAUCGAAAUUGGACACAGAAUUCGUGGAUUUGUGUAACUCGAGAUGUGUGAGACAGUCGUCACGCAAUCGUCACGCACGAAGUCGAGUUUCGCAGAAUGGAUAAAACUCGCCGGCUUUUAUUUAUGAGAUGGAGACCAGUGUUACCGAAUAUAUAGAGUUGGAGCCGAGGGCGAAGGAAAAGCAAGCAAGCAAGCAUAGGCCUCCUAUUAUCAAAAUAAAGAUAUUUAAUAACAAUCUUAUUUGGAAUCACAAUUUUUUGGUAUUAUUAAAAAUAAGAAUUUAGUCUUUGCUGCUUAAAAGAUCUCGACAUGUAUAAUUAGUAGAAUAAAUAUAUUUGAGACUAAAAAAUAAUAUAGGUUUCUAAAUAUUCGAUCACAUUUCAAGAGUGAUUCUUAUGUAAAUUAAAUUGUCACGCUCCGGAUUACACGUUCCACGGGCACGCCGACAAAUCCGCCGUAUACAAAGGAAUUUUUUCUGUAUACGAAGCGACAACUGUAUCUGUAAACCAAAUAAUACCACAAACAGUAAUAUAGAGCUGCUAGAGUAAACAGAAGCUAAACAAACGGAGAUCCAUAUACAUAGCUCAAAAAUCAAAAUACAGAGCUACUCGCACUGGCGAGUUAAGUAUACUAUGUACAUGAACUCAAAAUAAAACAUCUACCUGCAGUAGGGUACCUUUAGCUCGGCACGUCGGAUAGUGCUCUAGCUCGUGACGCCAUUGCCUCGAUCCUGAUCUGCGAUAGCAGCAGCCGAUGACAAUGGCUCUGCAAAAAUAAUGUGUAACAAUAGGGCGUGAGAACUACUGUAAAAACAGGUAGUCCUCAGUGGGUGCCGCCCUAAACAACAUCGGUCCACCCACUAAGUCUACAGAAGGGAGCCAGGAUAAUAGUAAAUAUAGGAAUAAAAUCUACCGUUAUGAAUCACUACACUAUCAUGCUCUACACUAACCAACUGUAUGAAAUGUCAAAUCUGACCCAAUCCAAUCGGGACUGUAAGCAUACCCGUCCCUGCCCAGUUGUGACUAUCCAGCUACCUCCACACUAUUAGUUUGUGGAGAGCAAGUCCAACCGGUAUGAGCGACACCAACGCGAAAGUACAGCGCCCGUCUCCGGAGUGGCACUCGUGGGAGCUACCAAACCGAGUAUGCAGCGUAUCUCUGUCGAGCUCAAUCAGGCUCUCAAAAGCCAAAGUCCAGUAACCAACUCAAACUGGUCUAACAACCAACAGGUAACGUGCCCUCGGCACAAUUCGACGCCAAAAAGGCGAUAUGGGUCCACCGUCAACCCCGACGGCACCCAACAGUCCGGAAUAGCCUGAACGCUACUGUAAAAAUAUAAUCGGCAUCCCGGCACGAGUGUAACUGAAAGCUAAACUAUCUGGAAUACUCACUAUGAGGAUACUGUUACAGUAUGAAAUAAUACAACGGCCCCUAGGGCUAAAUCAGGUAGUUUAAAUAUAUGACGAUCAUAUUCGCGAGUUUUCUCCUAAGUUUUAUCCAAGUCCAACAUGUAUAUAUAUAUAUUCAAAGAUAAUAACUCAGCUCCAAUUCAGAUUAUUAACCAUACUAAAUCAAUGAACCGAGCAAUUGCGCCACACAAGAUAAUUCCACAAUUACAUGUUGACUAUAUAGGCACUUAGGAGUAAACCAAUGAUUAACGCACCUUAAUUGCAAAUCCCCGACGGUGAAGAAGGUCACCGGAGUCCCUGUCAAGCUCGGCGCAGCUCCCCGAACCAGCGACAACACGCUCCACGGGUCUAAACAUAGAAACCCAUAAUAAGCAUCAAUUCUGCCCAAAACAGCAGCAGCAGAAAGAAAUAGGGAUACGACCUAGCAAACCUUCACCAAAUACAGCAAAUAAGGGCUUCGUGGAUUCCUCUCGAAGUCCUGAAUCCAACGAACCAAGUCCUGUCGAAAUCCGACGUUCCUACGCCGAGUACGAGCUGAAACACUGACGGUCGACGCUGAAAAUCAGUAAAAUCAGCAUGCGAGCUCAAAACCGUGCGUUCAAGUAAUCCAAGAAGGAAAGUUAGGUACCCACAUCGACAGCAAAUCCAGCGCCGGUGCGACAUCGAGGACGGCGAAAACGCACCCUCGCCCGGCCUCCAUGUGACGCUACGGCAACAAACGUAUGCUCAAACGGCUCCGCGAUGCGACGUCGGCGACGAACGCUCCACCCAAGCUUCUCCUCCUCGCGUAUGGCUCCAGAGACAGAGAGGGAGGAAAUUUUAAUUAAGGAGGCAUGUACAACCCCCUAAUUAGAUAAGCAUGAAAUACAUGCAUGGAGGCACGUGGCAUUAUAUAUAUAUAUAUAUAUAUAUAUAUAUANAAUAAAAUAUUCAAACAUCCGAGCAUUAGCCUUAUCUCAUACCCAAAAAUUAAUUUGAAUGUUCAUUCCAAAACAUUUGUUCGCGAUAUUCAUUUACACUAGUAUAAAAUAAAACAACACAUUUGGUCUCCAACUCAUUUUAAUUUUUAAAAUAAGAUAAAUUAUCACAUAAAUAAAAUAUGUUAUCCUACCAAAUGCUGCAUGUCUUUUUAUUUUUAGGCCUUAUUUGAAUGUCGAAAUAAUUUAUCCAAUAAUUAUUUAUACAAUACAAAAAUUUUCUUACAUAAUUGAAAGGCACGAGUUUGAUUGUUGCUCUUUAAAAAAAAAAUUUAAAAAUUUUGAUUUAGUAGGAUAACAUAUUUUAUUUAUCAUAUUUUGAAAAAAAAGAGGAAAAAUUUUAAUGGCCGAAUAUGCUAUUCUAUUGAAGACAUUUAACACAUUCCUAACUUUCAAUCACAAAUCUUUACACGGAAUAAAAUAUCAUCGAAUAGCUUACACCGACAUGCAAAUAUAUACGCAUCCAAACUAAGCUUUAGCAUCUAUCAACUUUACAAAAAGAUAAAAGAAAAAAAAUUAAAAAAGAAGCGCCUAAGACCUAACUAAAUUUUUGGGCCUAAUCCUAACGAGUCAAUUGAAGUUUUAAAAACACAACAUAAGAAAAUACUUUGCUUCCAUCAAUUUUUUUAAAUCCCAUGAAUUUAAGCUUAGAUUAUUUGUCACAAAUCCAACUUUAGGACCCCUUUUUAGAUAUCGAAAUAAGUUAUACAAUAAAAACUUAUUCGCAAUAAGAUUUUCCUAUGUGACUAAAAAGUAAAGAAUUUAAAUUUUGCCCCUUCAGAGGUCUAAAUUUUUAUAAUUUAUUAAACAGCGUACUUCACUUACAAUGAACAAAUAAUUUAAAGACGAAUUCAAAGAAAUAUGCCGAACAAAAUAUCCAUGCAUCCAAAGAGAGAGUCUAUAUUGCGACUCGCAUAACAAAAAGCUUUGAAACAAAAAUAACGAUGCAUGGUCGACUAUCAAAAAUUAAUUGUUUAUAUAAUAAAUUUCAAAUUUUAAAACUACCGACGACAAAUAAACAAGCCAAAAUUUAACCGAAUUAGGCUUCGUUUGGAAUUGCGGCGAGAUUGCGUUACGUACCGUGAGAGAAAGUACGUUGAAAAAAUACCCUGUUUGUUUCGUACGAAAUAUUACGUUUCGCAUAUCGCGAUGAGUCGGUUACGAUAUAUACUCUGCGGUUCCACCGAAGAACGCAGAAGCAUAUCCCUAUAUGUUUUUUCCUCAACUCCAUUUUAUCUAAUAACGUUUGGUAGACCUCAAUACCAAACUAAACCUUAGUAGAAUCUGACUUAAAAAUUUUCUCAUCACAUUUUCGCAUUUCAAAGCAUUUUUAAUUAACAGGAAAGACUAUUGCAAAACCUUGCAGCGAAAUAACAUGAUCAAAACCCAGGAAAAGAGAGAACUUGAGACAGAAAACUUCAAAUAAAACCCGUGGUUUUGCACUUUUUUAUUUUAGUACGCUGUGGUUUAAAGUGUAUCUAGUUAGAAUCAUGUGGUUUCACACUUUCUCACUUUAGUACCCUGUAAUUUCAAGUGUAUCAAGUUAGUAUUUUGUGGUUUUAUUUUUGUACCAAGUUAAUACCCUGUAAUUUUAUUUUUGUAUCAAGUUAGUACCCUGUGAUUUUAUUUUUCUCCGAAUAAAAUAUUAAACCACAGGGUACUUAAGUGAGAAAGUGCGAAACCACAGGGUACUAACUUGAUGCACUGUAAACCACAGGGUACUAAAGUAAGAAAGUGCGAAACCAUAGAGUACUAACUUGAUACACUUUAAACCAUAGGGUACAAAAGUGAAAAAAAGUGAAACCACAAGAGGGGUUUUUGAAGUUUUCCCAACUUGAGAAUACUCUCAAAAAGUUGAAACUCUCUGAUUAUUAUAAUCUUUUUUCCUAUAAAAAGAAGCUAAUAUUUUUUGGAAGUAAGUUUUUUUAAAUAUAUUAUGGUAGUAAGUUUUUUAAAAUAUUUUAAAUAUAUUUAAGUAAGUUUUUUUAAAAAGAAGCUAAUAUAUUUGGGGACAGAGAGGCAGAUCAGAUUCAUCGAAUUUUGGUUAAUUUACAUCAACGAAUGAAUAGUGAUCAAUCAAUCUAUCAAUAUUCAAAUUAGCUCAAUAAAUAACAUCACCCAAAAAUUUAGCAGCAUCAGCAAAACAACUCUAAAGAGGACAAAUCCUGAAUAGAGAAGCCGAAAAGCGCAGAUAAAGCCAUGUGAAAAAGAAGUAAUCUGGUAAGAUACAAGUUAACUUGAGACUCAAUAAAACGAUUACCUGGCCUUGCUAUCCAAACAAGUCAGUCAAAAUAAUAGCAACUAAUCAUAUAUAUAUAUAUAUAUAUAUAUAUAUAUAUAUAUAUAUAUAUCAAAAAUGGCCAAAAAUUUUUCACACAACUCCCCCUCUAAUGUUCUCUCCACCCAAUGCAGUGGAUUAGAGAACAGAGAAAUAAUAAUUCUAAGAUCAAACCCUACGACUCGGACUCAUAAAAACGCUAUACUAUAAUGUUCCUGACAUAACAUCUAGUUCGCUAGACGACUACAAGUCAUUCUAGAUUAGUUUUUAAAUUUAAAUUUGUAAAUGUUCUCUCCACUCAAUGCAGUGGAUUAGAGAACAGAGAAAUAAUAAUGCUAAGGUGAACCCUGCGACACGACUCUUCGCAUGACGCUACGGUAUAAUGUUCCUGACAAAACAUCUAACUCGCUAGAAGACCCUUCAACAACUAAAAGUCAUUUUAGAUUAGUUUUUAAAUUUAAAUUUGUAAGCAGCACCGCCUUAACCUUUCGCUUUGGUUAUUCGCAUACUUAUGUAUGUUCGAAGUGGAUAAAGCUAAGGGGGUGCUGAUCAAAAGUAAACUAAAAACCGACUAUAUAUGCACUAAAAUGACUUAUAGUAGUAGGGAACACUUGUAUACCUAAUAUUUACUCGUGUUUGUCUCUUUUUUCAAUUAUCCAGAAAAAAAAGAAGAAAAAUAGAUAUUUACUGCACAGUUUCUUCGCAUUUAUUGACCAGGAGCAGGUAUUGCCUGGUCCGGAGGGUCGUGGACAACAACACUCUUACGCAUCUUGUCCUCCUGCAGCUGUAAAAACAUUAUUGAUCAAUCACUAAAAUAUGCCAAUCAUAGAAAAAAUCACAGAACCAAUCACUCCAAAAAAAGGGUUAAUUUCAUUUAUGUCCCUGCAAACAUAGUAAAUAGCAAAUAUAUCCCUAUAAAAUUCAACUUUUAUAUGUUGUCCCUGCAAAAGUCCUGAUGUUUUCAAAUAUCUCUGCCGUUAAAAUCCGUUAGAAAAGUAAGUUAACCAUAGGUUAAAUGCUUAGCCCUAGUUAGUUUUUGAUAUUUUUAUCCCUUUAUAUUAUACUAGUAUGGCUUUUGGAGGAAUAUAUUUGUGAUGACAAAAUUGAAAAUAUAAACAGUUCUCUAAUGUAACAAUCAGAAGGACAUAUUUGAAAACAUUAGGACUUUCGUAGGGACAACAUAUGAAAGUUGAAUUUUGUAGGGAUAUACUUGUCAUUUUGCUGGGACAUGUAUGAAAUUAACCCAAAAAAAAAAAAAAAAGCCAAUUGUUACUCUUAGGGUCUAUGGAAUACUCAAAUUGCAGAAGUAUAGGAGAAGAAUAAGCUUAGUGGAUUAAGGCAUAAAUUUGUUUCUUCUGUAAACGUAAAGACAUAGAUUGUCACUAAAUAGGUUAACAGGAUGAAGUUCUCCACGAAAGAUAAAUGCAAAUCCUGUCGCACUGUACUAAUUUAAUGAAACAACCGGACAAGAAAAAUAGAUACUUGUCACUUACCUGGAUCUCAACAUGAUUCGAGGUCACUAGCGCUUCCCGUAAGAGCUGGAACACAUCUAAAUUUUUCGUCAACUGUUUAACCUGUAAUACACAUGAAGCAAAAUGUAUUCCAUCAUAAAUUACCUGUUUAUGUUAGCUUUAGAUAUGACAUAAAGCUUGCUAAAAUAAUCUAUAUAUAUCUACCUUAAUAUUGAAUAUCUUUAUUAAGUUCAGAAGGAUUGCAAUUAAGAUAAACUGGGUAUUCAAUAAGCGGUGCUCGGAAAGACAGGUUGGGAAGCAAAAGCACCCAAAUCUAAGAUUAAGAACAUUCUGAAUUUUUUUCAGACAUGCCUAGGGAUUGAAUUCACUUAUACAUAAUAGCGCCCCCAAUCACUGCUUAGUAAUUAUAAAUAAGUUAUCUUAGUUUGCCACUUCCCUUAAGUGCAAGUUAGUUUUCUUGGUUAUUGACACAGGACAUUGGCUUUAUUAACUUUAAAAAAAAAAGGAGAAUUAUUAACUUGCAAACUGUUAAUGCACAGUGAUAAAAUAAUGUUUCUAGCCACUUGUAGUCACAACUUUGGAAUUUGUGGGUAAAUCAAAAAAGUUUGAAAUUGGCACAAAAUCAAAUGAAUUUGGCAUUCAGGAAUGAUUCAUCAAUAAACAGUUAGAAAAACUGUAGAAAUACAGAAAAUAUGUAAAAGUAAUCAACAGGAUGUUUCUUUUAAUCUACAUAAUAUAAUGAACAGUUCCUGUGGCAACGGGUGACUCGUAAGAUUCUUGGAGUCUUGACUUAUUUGAGUAAUGGAUAGAUGAAGUAUCACGUAGUCCUUUUACCAUGUAAUUUGAGAAAUACUUCGCCAACAAUAGAUCCUACAAUUAUUCAUAAAAUUUCAAAAAAGUGCAAAGAUGUUCAACGAACUUACUUUCCGGAAUUCUGCAAUUUCUCUCACGGUUACCCAUCCUUCACUAUCCAUUAUUGACUUCAAGUACCAAUCGUCGACCAAGUUUUCAUCACUAAACAUAAACAGAAAAGCAUCCGCGAUCAAAAGGAGUUAACAAUUAGAAGCUAAAGGAAACCAAGAGAUGGCUAAAUACAAACAUAAUUUGUGAAAUUUGACCUUGAUUUCAAUUUCCUACCCAUACAAUUAGAUUUAGUCUCCGAAGUUUUCCUGCAUAACAUUAAACUUUUUUGCUAUCUAUUAUCUAAAAAGUAGACUUUAACAUGACAGUGAAACAUUGGAAUAAUAACUAUAUAGGGAGCCAACUCACGGAAAGGUGGUCACCGUCCAUCACUACAUAAAUAUUCAUGCAUUGAAUGUGAUGAACGGUUGUGAUUAGACCAUCUGUUCAUGCUCCCCAAGUAACUUCUUUCUAGACAUUGCAUUGCUAAAUUUGAAGCAUGAAGAAGCGAAAUCGAAGCCUGGAUCAAACUUCAGGGAUUAAAUUGCGUAAAAUGAAACUUUGAGGAUGAAACUAAAGUCAAGUCAUGCUUCAGAGAAUAAUUUUAUAAAAAACUCUACGGUAAAUUGAAAUGUGGAUCAAACUUCAGGGACUACAUUUGUAAGUAAACCCCCAAAAGAACUAAGGUUAAGUGGAAUCUGCAAGAACUAACCUGAAGUAAUACUCUACUUGACGGCGCAGCUUUCUGAGUAGUUCUGGGUGAUCAACGAUCUCAACUUUGCCGUCAAUAACAAUCACAUACUUUUGAACUGGCUCGGAAUUAACUGGAGUCGGCGGAGUUUCGAGGUUAUUUAUAGGAAAGUUGUUACUAUAACCACUUGCUUCUGUAAAGUAAACAGCACCAUAGUCACAAGUUCAGGAUUUUAAAUCGAAAAGAACUGAUAAAUUCUAAAUGUAGCAAACAACUCGCAAUUUAAAAAGAAGAAGUAAUUCAGAUAGUAAAAUAUAAUUAUUGAAACAUCAAAAUACACAAAAAACAGAGUUUCCUGCAUAAUUAUGUUAUUUAAUUCUGUGUUCGACGGAGCAUAGAAAAGUAAAAGACGCAAUGAAUGAUUUCUUUCGGCUAUAAAUACUCACAAACUUACUAAAUAUUUGGAAUAAUGCGUAGAGUAUUCAAAGCUUCCCGUUGUUUCCUUCGAAUAUUCAUGGACCAGCAAAUAAAUAACUCAUGAUUUCCCAAGAAAACAAAACGAUAUUGUUUUGUAACUACAAUCAAAACCUAAUGCAACAGAAUCUUUUUAUCUCUCAAGAUGUUAGAUGCAAAAUAAAACAAAAGAACAGAAAUAAGAGAGGAAACAGAGCGAUCGCUAAUUAAAAUUUUACUCACCUGGAUUGAAGGGAGCGCCAAAGGGAUCCAAAGGCGGGAAGGGCGCGGCAAAGUUGGCGCCGAAAGGAGGAAUCCGGUGGCGGUGAUCGAACAUCAGCGGGGGCGCGGGGAGGCUGAAGUGGGGCCCGAACGGCACGGGCGGGGGCAACCUGUGCCCUAGGGCGAACGCGUGCGGCAGCGGCGGGGGCGGCGGCGGCGGCGGCNCCCGAUUGAGCGGGGAGAAGUAGCCGCCGCCGCCGCCGCCGCCGCCGCCGUAGCCAUUGCUUGCGAAUCCGCUGUAGGGGUCGAAGAAGGGGCCGGCGCAGGGAACCCUCCAGUGUGGCGGCAGCGGCGGCGGAGAGCGACCGUCGAACCUUGGGCGGCGCGCGUGGCCGGAGAGCAACUGCUGCGCCGGGCGCCGCGGCGGCGACGUGGCCAUCUCAUGCGCCGGAGCCACGGCGGUGGAGGAGGCGGCGGCGGCGGGGGUAGUCGGCGUCGACAUAGCUCCCGGAAGACCAAAGAAACCCUAGUAGACGAAACGAAAACCCCAGAAACCCUAACCAAGGCUCAGAAAAACCCUAGGAAGCCCUAUAAGACACUAGAAACCCUAACCAAGUCUCGUGAGGAGAACGACGGAGGGGAACGAGAAGAGAAAGAGAGAGAGAGAGAGAGAGAUAGAGAGAGGGAUUAUUCGAUUUUUUUUGUAUAAAAAAAUUUGAGAUAAGAUUUUAUUUAAAAAUAAAUUGAUGAAUAAUAAUGCGUAUUUAUGAAGAGAGAAUGCGGAGUAGUCGGAAAAAGAUUGCCGCGUCGCGCCUCCGUGAGAAUUAAUCGGCGAUUAGGCGCUUCCCCCUCCCGAUUAAUACUCGUAGUAGGAGGAGGAAUCGCCAACCAUGCAAUAUAUAUUCAUAUUAAACCGGUAUUUUUUCAUUAAAAGAAAAAAAGGUAAAUUUCAAAUACCCCCCUGUCGUUUCGUAUCUUCUCACUUUAGUAUCAUGUGGUUUAAAGUAUAUCAAGUUAGCCCCUGUAGUUUCGCACUUUCUCACUUUAGUGUCCUGUAGUUUAAAGUGUGUCAAGUUAGUAUCUUGCUGUGAUUUUAUUUUUAUCUUUUUAUUAUCUAUUUUAUUAAUUUUUUUCGUUACGACAGAGUUAAAAUUAAAGGGUAAUAAAGUGAAUAUAUUCGAUUCGAUAAACCUAGGUAGGGUAUAUGAAGAUUUUUGUAUAUAAUUUAACGAAAUAUUAACAGACGAAAAAAAAAAUCAAUGACAAAGUUAAAACUAAAGAGUACUAAAAUAAAUAUUCAAUAAAUCUAAGUAGGGUAUAUGAGUUUUUUUAUAUAUAAUUUAACGAAAGAUUAACAGAGAAGCCGAGAAAAAAAAAUGAAACUAAAGUGUACUACAUUAAUGCACUUUAAAUCACAAAGUACUAAAGUAAGAAAGUACGAAACCAUAGUAUAGGGUACUCAAUUGAUACACUUUAAACUGCAAGAUACUAAAGUGAAAAAGUGAGAAACGCAUGGUGUUAUUUGAAGAACUAGUUAUAACGAAGAACUAGGUAUACCGGGGAUAGGUACAAGUAUGGAUUUUUAUAAGAAUAAGGGUAUUUUUUUGUUUGAAUGAAAAAAUUUGAGUACAAGCUAGAACUAGAAAAAUUAUGUUUGGAUGGUUAUUGAAAAUAAGAGAAAUAGUUGAUGAUUAUAAAUAAAAAAUAAUAAUAUUACCCCUCUCAUUAUAUUUGAAUUUAAAUUUUUAAUUUUUGAAUUUAAAUUUUUAAAUUUAAAAUUUAAAAUUAUAACUUUUAAAAUUGUUCCCACCCACUUAAUGGUGUUUGGGUACAAGAGGGGGGAUAACCCCUUGUCCCCCCUCUUGUACCCAAUCCAAACACUCCCUGAUUUCUCAAAGAAAAAAAGAGUUCGACCCGUAAUUUUCGAAACUGAACCGGUUAGGUUAGAUCCGGUUUUUUUACCCUUUCUUUCGUUUUUCUGUUUUUGGUUUUUUCGAGAGAAAAGUAUAUAAGCAUGUUUAGUUUAUUUCUAGAAAUAAACUUUUUAAAACUAAGAUUUUUUUAAAAAACAAAAUUUGUUGUUGUGUAGUUGAAGAUAUGUAUUGAUCGCAAAUUUAUACUAGCACGGUGAAAAAUUGUGUUAUUUUGAUAGUUAUAAGAUGUAUCAUUAGUUUGUUUUAUAGAAAAAAUUUUUGGAUUAAGCAUGCAAUUGGAUCCGGAUUAAUGGAAUUCCUGUUCCGAUCCAUACUGAAUGGAAUGAUAAUUGGGGACGAAAAAUAAGCAAAAAAAAAAAAAAGGAAAAAGUUCAAAUACCACUCCUGUGGUUUCGCAAUUUCUCACUUUAGUACCCUGCAUUAUAAUGUUUAUCACUUUCGUACCAUGUGAUUUUAUUUUUUUAUUUUUUGUUAUCUCCUUCACUAAUUUUUUUUAUUAAAUCGAGUGACAAAGUUAAAACUAAAGGGUACUUCGAUAAACUAUAAAUGGGGUAUUUGAAGUUUUUGUACAUAAUUUAAUAAAAAGUUAACUGAGGGCUGACGAAAAGAGAAAAAUAAAAUCAUAUAGUACUAAAUUGAUACACUUUAAACCAUAGGGUACUAAAUUGAUACACUGGAAUACUAUUGCUAGCAAACGGGCUCCGUUGCCACUCAUUUGUUUUCGAUGAUGGAGCCUCCAAAUUAACGAUCGGCACCAUUGAACAUGAUCUAUACUACUUUGAGUAUUUAGAAAUCAAAUUUUAUGAUUUUUCGCUAUUGUUCUCUUAAUCAUCAAGUAGACGUAAAAAUGAACGGCUGAAAAUAAAUAUCCUCUAAAAAAUGAUGAUAGGAAUUUUCUAAUCAAGAUCGAGAGUAUAGAUUUUGUUCUAAAUAGUUUAAAGAAUUUCUAUUUGAAUAGCUUUACACCGUUAAACAAGAAAAUGCCUCAUAUCUACCAUUAAAAUUACAAAAUUUGAAACCAUUUGAUUAUUAGGUCAAUAAUGUCAAAAAGAUUUGAAAUUUGAUUUCUAGAUGCUUCAAGUGGUAUACAUUAUGUUCAACAGUGCCGAUCGUCAAUUUAAAGGCUUUAUCAUCGAAAACAAAUAAAUGGCAACGGAGCCCGUUUGCUACUAAUAGCAUUCCAGCUCAUCUCUCUCUCUCUCUCUCUCUCUAUAUAUAUAUAUAUAUAAUGUAAAAUAAUUUCAGGUUUGGCUGGAGCUUGGGUUCGGGUUCGACUCGGGCUCGAGUUCGGGUUCGGGUGCAAUCAAAAUUCAUACCUGAAUUCAAAUCCGUCGGAUUUUUAUUUUUGAUAUGCAUAUCCGAAACUAUAUCUAUUUAGUAUCAGAUAAAUCUACUCCAUUGGAUUCAAGUUCGGAUAAAAUUUUAGAUAUCUGUAUCAUUGACAUCCCUAGAAAUGGUUGAACGAGAAAAGAGACUAUAUCAUAUAAUAUUUUAUUUUAUUUUUAUUUAUCAUAAUAAUAUAUUUAAAGGCAAAUUAUAUGCCACUCAGAUCAAUUGACAUUUAUCUAUAAUUCAGAUCAUUGUAAUUGCAUUUUAAAAAUUAUUACUAAACAAAUUAUAUUAUUUUUGCUAAACUGAUCUCACCUAAUUUAAUAUAAAAGAUUUUCUAUAGUAAGUAAUGCUAUUUGUACAGCAAGAAUUAGAGAUGUAGAUUGAACCAGAUUGGUGGACCCUCUGUUUCGAUCCACUUCAAAUGAGGCCGUAAUUAAGUGAGAAUAAAAAAUAUAAAAAAGUGUAGCUUGUUUCGAAUCUGUCCGAUUCGCCAAGUAGAUGGAGCGAGAGGCGAGAGACCCUUGCUUACUGCUAUAAAUUCAUCAAAAACCCUCUCCUACCCCGAUCCACCCGAAUGGAUUCACAAGUGAGAGUAAAAAAUAUGAUUAAAAUUAGGCUAAAAUAUAAAAAAAUUCUUAUAAAUACCCACUUUUUACUAUUUCUUUUUUACUUUUAAAAUCUAUUUUUUGUACUCUAAAAAUUUUAAAAAUAUUUUUAGGAAAGUAUGACUUUAAUGGAGAAGGCAAAAUGACUAAAUUAUCCUUAUUUUUUUUAUAACAAAAAAUAAUUUUUUAAUAUAUUGCUGUAAUUUUGAAUUUUUUAAUAUAUUGUUGUAAUUUUGAAGGGCAUUUUCGGUAUAAAUUAUAAAAAAUAAACGGAAUAGUAAUAGAACCCUAAUAUAGGAGGGCCAAAUGUAACAACUUGAAAUGUUAAAAAGAUAAAAUAUAGAAUUUUGAAAGUUAAAAAAAAAUAAAAAAUAAGUACUUAUAAGGAGAUUUUCUGUAAUUUAGCCUUAAAUUAACCCGUCAUGAAUCUGUCCCGACCCAACAUGAAAUGGAGCGGGAGGUGGAAGACAGCUCCCUCCUUUGGAUCCGCUCCGUUUGCAUCCCUAUCUAAGAUGUAGGUGUUAAUCUUAUAUCUUAGCCUCUUGAUGAUCAGAAUGUCCUCACUUAUUUUAUCAAUUUUUGUAUUAAAAAUUUUACAGAAUUGUCUAAAUCCUAAGAAAUAUUUUCUAUAUAACAGAUAAUACCCAUUAAUACAUGCAAAGAAUUCAAAAUAUGAUAAAUCAUGAAAUAUAACAAAUAAUUUGAAAAUAUAAUAAUUAAUUAAUUUAUGUAAAGAUGCUUUAAUUAGUUAAUUAAUUUACAAAGAACUCAUUAUGUUUGGUAUUGUUUUAUUUAUCCAAGGGUUGUAGUCCUACUCCUAAGAUUUAUACAAAUUUUUUUAGGCCAAUUUGCAUAAAAAAUUCAUAAAUUUUGAGCUUUUACAAAACUGGGCCACCUUUUUUGAUUUUACAGAUUCGGUCCGAAUUUUCAACAAACUGACAAAAAUACCUUUAUUACUUUUUCUCUCUCUUCUUUCUCUCUCCUCUUAUUUUCUCUUGUUCAUUUUUUUUCUUUCACCGAAGAAAGCAGCGGAGGCAGAGGCAGAGGCAGAGGCGGAAACGGCCCGCCUCGCCUCUCACCCUCAUGCUCUCGCCCUCGCCCGCGCACCCCCCACCUUCCUCGCCUCCGACCCCACCGUGGCCGCGCCGCAACACUCUUUUUUUUUUUCCUCUCCGACUCUUCUCCACCGUCUCUGACAACGACGCCUCUCUUGCCCUUCCCCGCCCUUCUUGUCCUCCCCUUCUCCCUCCUCCAAAGCCGCCUCCAACGACGACGCAUCUUCGCCGACGACGACACCGUAGAGGUCGCUGCAGCGCUGCAGCCUCAGAGCGGGGGGUUUUUAGCGGCGUCGUCACCGGCGCCGUGGCCGUUGGCAGAGAGGGGUGACUAAAAAAAAUUAUAGAAGAAGCAAGAAAAAAAAAUAAAGAUAAAAAAUUAUAGGAAAAAAGAUAUGAAGAUGAAAUUGCACCGUUAAAAAAAAAAUUGUACUGUUUUAAAAGAACGUUGCACUAUUAUGGACAUAAGUUGUAUUACUUAAGGUGUAAACUGCAGAUCUAAGAUGAAAAUUACACUCUUUAAACGAAAAUUGCACUCUUUGAGAGAUAUUUACACUAUUUUUUUUCUUAUUGCACUCUUUUAGAUAUAAACUGCAUCCAUUAAGAUAAAAAUUACACUCUUUAAAUGAAAGUUGCACUUUUUGAGAGAUAUUUACACUGUUUUCCUCUUCUUACAUCCUUUGAGAUGUAAACUGUAUCUCUUUAAGAGAUAUUUAUACUGUUUCUCUUCUUGUUGCACUGUUUUUCCUCUUGUUGCACUAUUUUUCUUCUUGUUAUACUGUUUCUCCUCUUAAAGGGUGUAGUUUAAGAGAAAAAACAAUGGCCAACUUUUGCAAAAGCGCGAAACUAGUGGAUUUUUUAUGAAAUUGGCCAUUUUUUUAAGAUUUUAAUAUUAAAAAAAAUUAUGACUAGUGAGAAAAACUUUGAACCUUAGAUAGGCAAGUUGAAAGAAAAACUUUAUAAUUUCUCACCAGUCAUAUCACUCUCUUUUGUUUUAAUAUUUAAGGCUAAAAUAUAGAAAAUUCUUCUGUAAAUACUACUUUUUCACUUUUAUUCCUUAACUUUUAAAAACCUAUAUUUUACCCUCUCAAAAUUUUAAAUUGAUACAUUUAGCCCCCCUUCGUUAGUGUUCCGUUACUAUUCUAUCUAUUUCUUAUAAUUUUUACCUAAAAUUUUCUUAAAAUAACAAAAAACAUUAAAAACUAUUUUUUAAAGAACAAGUAAGGACAACAUAAUUCUCUGAAAAUAUUUUCGAAAUUCUAAGAUAUUAAAUGUAGGUUUUUGAAAGUAAAAAAAAAAAAGUGAAAAAAAUAAAUAUUCACACAAAAAUUUUCUAUAUUUUAACCAUAUUAAAAUUCAAAAGGAAUCAUAUAAAUUCUAGGGAUAGCAUUACAACCCUCGAAUUGACAUUGUAAUCCUAUCCAAAAAAUUUUCUAUAUUUUAGCUAUAUUAAAAUUCAAAAAUAAUUAAAAAUAAAUUCUAGGGACAGGAUUACAACUCUUGGAUUUUCAAAAAUCUAAAUCCAAACCCGACUAUAAAAUCCAAAAUUCAAACCCAAACCCGACUCCAACGGAUUUUAAAAAUCCAUUUCCAAACCUAAAUCUGACAAAAAAAAUUCGAAAUCUAAAUUUGAACUCAAAAACCCUAACCCAAAAUAAUUAUUUCUUUUUAUCAUAUUUCAAAACAUAUUACAUUAAAUCUAAAUUUUUAAAUACAAAUUAAAAUAUAAUAUCAAACAUUCACAUAUAUUAUAUAAUGUAAAAUCAAUUUGUGUUUGGAUCGGAUUCGGGUCUGGAAAAGACAAAAUUCAUGUCCGAAUCUAAAUUCAUCGAGAUUUUUUUUUUUAUACCGAUAUCAGAAACUAUAUCCAUUUAGUAUCUGUCUGCCAUCACGAAUGACGUAUCUCGCACGGUCGAUGGGUUUUGCCGUGGGGUUGUAUUCAUGAUUCAGAUUAGUAUUUGUAUCAAGUAUUGCAGGUCCAUGGUUUCCAAUAGAUGUAAGCAUCUAUUGUUAAUUACCCCCGUGGCAUUGGGGCACCUUCGAUUAAGAGACCUUUGUAAAUAUGAGAUUGAAUGAAUCGUAUCUUGGUUUAUUGAAUCCUAAGUAUAUGUAUUGGGAUUCAGUUGGAUUUGAGAUUGACUAGGUCCUAAAUAUAUGUGUUAAGACCUAUUCGAUAUUAAACUCUAUAUAUUAUAGUCUAAUUGGCUCUAAGUAUAUGUCUUAGAGUCCGAUUAUAUUCACCUUGGUUGUAUAUUCCAAGAUGGAGAUGUGACCAUACCCCAAAUAUAUGUAUUGAGGUAGGUCGGAUUUGAUAUUACCCAAAAGUAGAGAGUGGCUUAUUCCUGAAUGUAUGUAUCAGGAAUAGCCGAGUUUAAUAUAUUUUUUACUCUAGUUAUAUGUGCUAAAGUGAGGAUCUGACUAAGCCCGAAGGUAUUGCGUUAGAAUUUGUCGGAUUUGAUUUGCAUGAGCUCUAAGUAUAUGUAUUAGAGCUCAAUCGGCAUAGAUUUCACUCUAGGUAGAUGUGCUAGAGCAAAAUGGCUGACUAGACCCUAAGGGCAUGUUUGUUUGGUGUAAGUGGAGUGAUGGAACUCAAGUUCCAUCACUUCCGUUAUUUGUUUUGGUGUAAGUGAAAAAUAUAAUGUAACUCAAGUUACGUAAGACCUCCACUUUACCUACUCUCGACUUCCUCCUCUAAAGUGCCAAACUCGACUUCCACCACACUCAACCUCCUCUAAAAUAUUUAUUAAACAGUAAAACCUAAACUCUACUUUCCUUAUAAUAGAUUAGAAUUACCUUAUUUAUAAUAAAUUAGGAUUAUCUUUAAAUAAUAAUAAAAAAAUCAAUUAUAUAAUAAGUUAAAUUUUAUAGCGGUAAAUUUACUAUUAUAUUUAGGAGAUAAUGGUAUCCACUUACUUACAUCAAAACAAACAACGGAACUCACAAAACUAAUUUCACCAGCACCAAGUUACAUCAAAACAAACAUAAGAAGUAAUUGAAUUUAACUUUCAGGCUAUACAAGUUACAUCAAAACAAACAACCAAAAAAUAAUCAGACUUCAGGAAAACUCAAACACCACUGCACUUGACUUACGUUGGAUCUACAGAUUCGUCAAUCCAAACAGACCCUUUAAGUGUAUGUGUUAGAACUAGUCGAACUUGAUUUGACUUCCACUCUAGGUAUUAGUGCUAGAGCAAAAGGGUGACUAGACCCUAAGGAUAUGUGUUAGGGUUAGUCAGAUGAACUCUAAGUAUAUGCAUUAAAUUUCGAAUAAAUUUGAUAUCAUUUGACUGAAUUCUAAGUAUAUAACUUAGAACUCUGUCGAUUUGGAGAUAUUUUGCCUUAGUUAUAUGUGUUAAGCCGAUUGACUUAGCCCUAAGUAUAUGUAUUAGGGGUAGUCGAUAUUUAAUUUUUACUCUAGGUAUAUGUGCUAGACUAAAAAAAAAGGUUCAUGAUGAACUUUGGGUAUGAUUUAGUUCAUAUAUGGUUAAUGAGAUUUGGGUAUUGGUUCAUGAGAUUUGGUAUAUGGCACAUUAGGGUUUGGUGCAUGGUUCAUGAGAUUUCGUUCAUGAACUUGGAUAUGAUUCAUGGAUUUGAUGUAUGAAUUUAGUUUAUGGACUUGGUUCAUGAUUCAUGAACUUGGUUCAUUUGGUUCAUAAACUUGGUUUAUGGUUCAUAAGGUUGGGUAUGUAGGAUUUGGUUCAUGAACUUAGAUUUGGUUCAUGGAUUUGGUAUAUGAACUUGGUUUAUGGACUUGGUUCUUGGUUCAUGGUUCAUGAACUUGAUUCAUUUGGUUCAUGAACUUGGUUUAUGGACUUAUUUCAUGGUUCAUGAGCUUGGUUCAUUUGGCUUAUAAACUUGGUUCGUGGUUCAUGAGAUUAGGUAUGUGGGAUUUAGUUCGUGGUUGAGUGCAUGGGUCAUGAACUUGGGUACGGUUCAUAAGAUUUGGUGUAUGGUUCAUAAGCUUUGUUCAUUUGGUUUAUGAACUUGGUGUAUGGAUCAUGAGAUUUGGUGUAUGGUUCAUGAUAUUUGGUGUGGUUCAUGAGAUAUGGUUCAUGGUUCAUAAAAUUUGGUUCAGGAACUUGGUAUAUGGCUCACGAGAUUUGGUUUAUGAUUCAUGAAAUUUGGUUCAUGAAUUUGGUAUUUGGCUCACGAGAUUUGGUUCAUGAUAUUUGGUGUGGCUCAUGAGAUAUGGUUCAUGGUUCAUGAAAUUUGGUUCAUGAAUUUGGUGUAUGAUUUAUGACAUUUGCUCCAUAAUUCAUGAUAUUUAGGUAUGGAAUUUGGUUCAUGAUCCAUGUAAUCUGGUUCAUAAAAUUUGGUUCAUGAGUCCAUAUUUGAGGUAGGGUUUGGGUUUGGUUGGAUUAGGCUUUUAUGAUGGAUUCAAUUGGGUUUGGAUUUUUAUGGUGGACUUGAUCGGAUUUGGGCUUGGAUUUUGGGUUUUUUAUUUGUGGACUUGAUUUGGGUUUUAGGUUUUUAGGUUUUUUAUUUGUGGACUUGGUUCGAGUUUAGGUUUUAUUUGUAGACUUGGUUUGAGUUUUUUAAAUUUUAUUGCAAUUUGAUUUUUUUGGUCUAAAAGGAUUCUCUUUCCAAUUUUAUUGCAAUUCGAUUUUGGGUCCGAAGAAAUCUUCUUUUGAUUUUUGUAAUUUGAUUUGGGAUCCGAAGAAAUCCCCUUUUAAUUUUUAUUGCAAUUUUGAUUUGGGAUCCGAAGAAAUUCUCUUUUGAUUUUUAUUGCAAUUUUGAUUUGGAGUCCGAAGAAAUUCUCUUUUGAUUUUGUAAUUCAAUUUGGGGUCCGAAAAAAUUCCCUUUUGAUUUUGUAAUUUGAUUUGGGGUCCGAAGAAAUUUUCUUUUGAUUUGGCAGUUCGAUUUGUCUAUUCGGCCGGCGAAUUUAGUUCGAUAUUUUCAAAAGAGAUUGAAGGGUCCGAAGAAACGGAGAAUCUUUGAUUCCCCCCCUCUUUUUUCGAAAACACCGAACCGGCGAGGCUGGAGAUGACGGCGGUGAAGAUGAUGACGGUGGCGCGGAUCUGUUCGGCCGGCGAAUUUGGUUCGAUAUUUUUAAAAGAGAUUGAAGUGUCCGAAAAAACAGGAAAUCUUUGAUUCCCCUCACCUCUUCUUUCGAAAACACCAAAUUGGCAAGGCUGGAUAUGAUCACGGCAAUAUAGAUCACCCAUUCCAUCAAUUAACGGCUUCGAAUGGAGUAUCGAGAGAUUCGAAGAAACGGAAAGCCAUUGGCUCCCCUCCACUCUCCCAUCAAAGUCGUUUAGAUGGUAUGGAUGACUACGGUAGCAGGACCUAAACAAAAAAGAAAAAGGGAGAAAAAAAGAGAUUUUUUUUAUUUUUUGAUAUAUUUUAUUAUUAUUAUUAUUAUUAUUAUUAUUAUUAUUAUUAUUAUUUAUCUUUACCUGAUGAUCAGAUGACGGGCUGGAUGAAGCGGCACGACGGUGCGGCUCCGUAUCGCUAUCGUCUCUCUGUAUCUAUUUUUCUCUAUCUAUUUGUUCUCUCCUCUAUGUAUCCCCUUCCUCUUUUUUUAUUCUCAUAUUUAUAAUAGAAGGGGAGAUCUGAGGAAUCGGAGCGAUUCAUGGGUUAGGCGAGAGAUAUUUUGAGGAGUUGAUUAGGAAUUCGAAAUUCGAAAUUGAAUUUUGAAUCGAUUGUUGGAGGGAUAAAUAUUUGAAAUUCGAAUGAAUAUGGUUGAUUGGGAGAUAUUUUGAGAGUUGGUUGGAGGGAUAGAUAUUUGAAAUUAGAAUGAAUGUGGUUGGUUGGGAGAUAUUUUGGGAGUUGGUUGGUUAGUUGGGAGAUAUUUUGGAAAUUGGUUGUGAUUGGUUGAAAGCUAUUUUGGGAGUUAGUUGUGAUUAGUUAGGAGAUAUUUUGGGAGUUGGUUGUGUUUUAUUAAGAGAUUUUUUGGGUGUUGGUUGAGAAUUUGAAAUCGAAUUUCGAAUAGGAUUGUCAGGAUAAUAGAUAUUUUCUAGGGUGUGGAUAUAGGUCGUCAUUGAUUGAGCCCACUUUAAUAAAAUUUGUUGAGCACAAAUAAUAAUAUUCAUUGGGCUGAAAUGAGACCCGAAUUAUUGCAUAGGCUUAAAAUUUUAACGGGCCUUCAUGAGACCCACCAACUCGCAUUCAUGAAUGGAUCUAUUGCGAAUUUAAAUUAUGAUUAUUGCCCCCAAAAUUUUAUGAUCAACAUGAAACCUAUUAGAAUUGUAUGAAUCCGAAUUUAAUCGAUUUUAAUUAUGAUUAGGGUUACUUUACUCCUUUUUCUUUUCUUUUCUUUUUUUUUACUUCAAACAGUAUCAAAUAAAUCCGUCCCAUUCAUGUUCGGAUUUGGAUUCAAUUAAAAUUUCGAGUAUCCGUACCCAUUGACAUUUCUAUCCAAGAAUGCCAUUCAUGAUUUUUAGUAGAAUAGUAUAUUUUAUUUACUAUAUGAUUUAUUUUAUUUUAAAAAAUUGAGGUGAAGGCUAAAUAUUUAAUUCAAAACAAAUAAUCACAGUUCUCAUAUAUUAAUAUUAUAAAAUUUUUAAGUAAAGUAACAAAAUAUUUAUUUUUUAGCAUAGUGUUGGAUUUGUUGUAAUUUGUUCUCUUUUUUUCCGGGAAUAUAAAUUAAAGAAAAUUAAUAAUAAUUAGCUUGAAAUGUAAGGAGACCCCCUCAACAAAAGGUUAUUUUGAAGUCACUCCUAAAACUACAAUUGUUUUGAUCGGCUACCAUAACUUUUUUAUUUUUAAGAAACGAGUAAUUUUAGUCAAAUAAAUUAAAAAUUUUAUCAAAUCCAUCGAUGACUCUUUCUAAUUAAUAGUUUUGAUUGCAUUUUCGCAAAUAAAGCUGAAACAAUUAAUAGCUAAUAUGUAAUAGAGCUAUAAAAUUUAAUUUUUUAAACUUGCAUAAGUAUAAUUCAAUUUUUUUUAAAAAAAAUUAGAAACAAAGCAAUGUCAAUAAAAAAUAAAGUUAAGGGGCAUUUCUUUCUGUAAAUUUUGAAAUUAUUAUAAAUAUAAUUUCCAAACUUUAAAAUUGCAAAUGGAGAUAGAAACUAAUCUUUGGAGAAGUUAAAUGACCAAUUUACCCUUGUAAAAGUCUCCUCCAAAAAUUUCAUGCGCUUAUACUUAAGAAAAAAAAUGUAUCGAGACCCCUCAACUAUAGCGAUUUUUGGAAUGGCACCUAGCAACUUCAAUAUUUUUUAGGGAUUAAAUGCAUACUGAUUCCUGCAAAUAUAGUGAAUUGCAAAUAUAUACAUAUAAAGUUCAAUUUUCAUAUGUUGUCCCUUCAAAAGUUCUAAUAUUUUUAAAUAUGUCCCUCUAAUACGUUACUGUUAAAAAAUCGUUAAAGAACUGUUUAUAUUUUCAAUUUUGACAUCAUAAUAUGUCACUCUAAAAGUCACAAUAAUAUAAUAUAAGAGGGAUAAAAAUAUCAAAAACUAAUCAGGAUUAAGUAUGUAAUACAACGGUAAAGAUAUAUUUGAAAACAUUAAAAGACUAUUAUACGGACAAUAUAUAAAAAUUAAACUUUAUAUGGAUAUUUUUAUAAUUUACUAUAUAUAUAGGGACCUACAUGCAAUUAACCUUAUUUUUAAUCGACACUCUUUUAACUUUUAAGUUUUACAAUGAACUAGUCUUUUUUUUUUUUCUGUUAAAAAGUUUGUUUAACUUUACUAACUUUUCAGCUGUUAACAUUUAAUUAUUUUAAUUCCAUUGGGUAAGAAUAAUAAAAUUAUUAAAUUUGGUAAAUUUAUUGAUGGACUUGAUAAACAAGCCAAUUUAUUUGACUAAAAUUAUUAAUUUUUAAAAAAUAAUAGUUAAAAGGUUUUAAUAAAAAAAAAAGUUAGAGUUAAGGGGCUAUUUCAAAAUAAAUAGAUGGUAGCAUUUUCCCUCAGAAAAAAAAUGUAUGGAACUUUUUUGAACUAUGAAUUAUUUUAAUUUGACUAUUUAAUUUUUUAAAAAUUUUGAUUUUACUAUUCAAUCUUUCAAUUUUUCGGAUUUGAGUCCAUUAACGACACUUUAACUUCAAAAUUUAAAUGUAUCGUUUUUUUUUACAGAUUUAGUUAGUAUAUUUCAUGCAAUUCUCGGACUAUAAAUUAAUUAAAAUAAGUAAUUAAUUUAAAUUUUAAAGUAAAAGUACCCUUACUAACUCAAAUCAAAUAAAUUGAAUGGUUGGAUAGUAAAAUUAAAAAUUUUAAAGAUUAGAUAAGUAAUGUAUGAUUUUACUUUUUUAUUUUUGUAUUAUUUUUAAAAAUGUUUCGAGACCUUUCGAAUUUUAGCACUUUUGCAAACAUGUCUCCAAAUUUUUAUAUUGGUGACUAGAAUUUCUAAACGUUAUAGUGGGAGAUAGGAUUAGGCUGUUUCAUGGUCGAAGUGGUGUGAGGUUGGUUGAGCUAAACUUUAACACUUUCGUGGCGGUAGGCCAGGUUAGGCAGAUUCAUGUUUGAAGUGGCGUGAGACUGUUUGGACCGAGUGUGUCUGUAUACUUAAAGGGAAUUGGCUGGUUAUUUUCAAUAGUUCGAGCUUUUGAAAUUGAUAGUUUAUGCCAACGAUCUGACACUUUUUAAGUACUGCAAAUUAUUCACCACUUUAUUUAAAAUAUUAUAACUGUUUGAGGUGCUCAUAAAAGCAGUGGACUGUUUACCAUAUUUAUCGGAUUCAAACUUAGAAUAUAGAUACUUAUGUGAAUACGAUUAAUAUUUUACCGCUUUCGAAUCUAAUAUGUUUAAGCCGACGCAACACAAAUGGAUCUAAUAUAAGUAAAGCUGCAGAGAUAAGUGGGCCUAAUUUUAGAAAUAAAAAUAUCAUAGGCUCAUAUUUAGCCUAUUGAUAAUUAAAAAUCUCUAAUGAUCUAACUGACACUAUUAGAUAAAAUAAAAUUGAGAUAAAAAUAUAUAUGAAUAUGCUUUUGUAUUUUCUGGUGGAACUGUAACAAAUAUAUUAUAACCGACUUAUCGUGAUAAUAUUACGUACGAAAAUAAACAGAAUAUUUGUCCAUCAUACUUUCUCACGGUAUGUAACGCAAUCUUCCUGCAAUUCCAAACGAAGCAUUGCUUACCAAAAGUUCCCAUUUUAGAGGGCCUUUCAAUGUAAUUAGUCGAUUAUUCAUGGACUUGGUCGCAAAUAAAUACACACUUUUGCCCGUUGGAGGGCUAGUGAAAGAGGGGCGCUCCCUCCGAGCCCAAGUCCACACCUCGCCCCCGCCGCCGCCGACGCCGACGACGCCGCCGCCGCUCCGCCGCCGCAAAUGGCUUCGCUUCUCCACCUCCCCGCCGACGACUCCGUCCUCCUCGUCGUCACCCAUUCCAACAUCAAGAGCUUCUCGCCCGAGAUCCGCUUCUCGCUCCAAGUACUACUCUCUAUAUCUCUCUAGAUCUCUCCUGAAUCUCAUCGAUCGGUUCCUUAAUGGCGGCGAUCCCGAUCGCAGAUGAGCGUGGAGGCGGUGAAGGAGAAGCUGUGGAGGAAGUGCGGGACCGCCGUGGAAUCCAUGCUCCUCGAGCUCCACGACGACGCAGGAUCCAAAAUCGCCGACCUGAGCGAUAAUCUGAGGCCGCUAGGGUUCUACUCCCCGCAGGAUCGGUUCGUCUCCUCCCCUCUUCUCGCGAGAUAUGUGUGCUUGAUCGAUUCCCUCUUGUUUGAUUUGUUAGGGUUUCUUUUUGGUAGAAAUAUCAAGAACUUGUAUAAACUAUGAUCUAUUUUGAUCUGGAGAUCUAACUUUUGAAAGUUUUGAUUUUUGCUGCCUAACAUUCAAUUCAUUUGAUUUGUUUGAUGACACUUGCACUUCAGAAUUUGAUUCCCGUUUGUUUUAAUGGGCUUGAUUAGAGCAUCUAGUGCUAUACACCUGACUACAUUCCCAAUAAAGCAAAAAAAAAGGGCAUCCAAAUUUAGUAACAAAGAGUCGUUGAACGAUUCAAAUCAAACAAAUUGAAAAAUUAGGUAGUCAGGUUAAAAUGCGUUAUAAUUCAGGUAAGUUUCAUUUUUACACUCUUUUUACCACAUAUAUGCAUGGUUGUUGUGUUCUUUUAUGCAAAUGUAUAUUGGCUAAUGUAGAUUGUCUUGAACUCGUUCGCCACGUUGUGGGAUUGGGACUUUAGAAAAAUAGCCUGCACAUAUAUCUUUCAAAUCAAGUAGGGUUGUAAUUAAGUUAGUACAGGAAGAGAAUUUGAAAAGUGGAAACAAUAUUAAAGAUUAAAGAGCUGCGGAAAGUUGGUAGAUGAGGAUAUGCACCGGCAAUUUUACUGACUUGGGAAAAAUUAUUUUCUGUUGCUAAAACAUUAGUACGAUUCUUUGAUGGGCUUUAGAAGUAAUAGAAUCACUCAAGUAAAUUGCUAUCUGUAAUAAAAGGUAGAAAAGCAUGGACCUUACCUAAUACUAGGCCAUAUAUUUUAUUUUCGCCGCAUUUACUGUUGCAGUUUAAUUCUCUUUUUUUUUUUUUCCACUUGAUUGGAUUUUUCUUAUAUAAUCCGAAGGUACCGGCUGCAUAUUAUAGAUCUGGAUCCUUCAUCUGUGACCUCUGGCGGCUGGUUAGAAGACACAUCACUCGUCGAAAAAUAUACAAUAUCAGAGGAAGCAUACAGUAAACUUGAUUGUAAGUUUCUCAACCAUAUUUUUGUGCACUAGUCAUUAUUAGUGAUCGAUUGAGGCCUGUAUACUGUCUCUGCUUCGAAUUGAAGAGGGCAGCGGGUGUUGGUAUUUCUAGUCAAUUUCUAUAAUUUCCCUGAAUAUGGAUAACCAUCCUUUCUUUUCCUGUAAACUUCUUCCAUCUUUGACAAUAGUGACAUGUUCAUGUUUGUGUGUGUGUGUGUGUGUGUGUGUGUGUGUGUGUGUGUGUGUGUGUUCAUUUUCCAGCAAAUUUCCGGAAAUUUAAGGAGAAGAUGAUUUCUCAGAAUCCUACCCAUGACAAAAAGGUAAGCAUGGGUGGCACUUAGGUGUUUUUACUUUAUAGUAGUGUAGGUUUCAAUGCUGAUUGUAGAGUAGGUAACAUGCUAGCUAUUAUUGUCCUGUUCGGUCCUUGAUCUAAUCACACUUAACACCAGUUUCUAGAGACUUAUGGUUUAUUCUAGCUGUUUUCCCUUUUUGGUCUUCUCCAUUGCACAUCAUGGAGGUCUGGAUCUCCCCGUCCCCUCUCUCUGUGUGUGCACAUGCGCCCGCAUACAUGGGCACAUAUGUGCAUGUUAUGUUAGGGCACCCUACAGCUGACAAAAGUUCAUUUUUGUCACUUGAACUUGUUUAUGAGCCACUGAUUUAUUAGCUAUGGGCAUGUACCUUUGAGCAAACUGUCUUUUGGGAGCUUCCUAUAAAAUUAACAAGGGGUUGGAUGCCCUUCAUCUAACUUGAGCUUCCAGUGCAAAGAAGAAAAAGAUCUUAAACCAAGAAAAGGUACCACUAAAUAAACAGUAGGGGCUGUAAGACCUCAUGUAAAGCCCUUCUUACAAGAUCUUCUCUAAGUUGCUCCUCAUAGAAUUUUCACACGAUGCCUAUUGCUAACUGUAAUAUUUUUGUCCUUCAGCUGGCAGACAACUACAUGGAAGAGUUGUGUGCCAAUAUCAAGGUUAGUAUAUAAUUUUUGUUUCUUCGGCUGUAUCAAUUUUGCAGACAAACAAAAGCUCCUCAAUGUUCUUCUUUUUUCCCAUUUCCAUGGCUCUAACUGCAUCCGAGGUGUUGCACAUUCAAGCGUCAUAGAGUUUACCCUAUGAUGGAUUUGUUUUUUCUGAGUAUAUUGAGUUACCUUUCCAUAGAAGAGUAAUACUUCUCUUUUUGAAAUUUAAUGUGAGCAAACAUUUUGCAUGUGAUAGAAUAGGGAGUAUGUUCCUUCUUCUCUAUACAUAUUAGCUUUACUUCUCCUUUAUGUUUUUACAAGAAAAUGUUUUUUUUGCUAAGAUAUUUCCUGAUUUAGGUGGGUGAUAGAUGUGAAGUUGAACCAGGUGCAAAGAGGGGAGUUGUCAAGUUUGUUGGAAAAGCAGAGGCACUAGGACCUGGAUUUUGGGUUGGUAUUCAGUACGACGAGCCUCUGGGAAAGCAUGAUGGCAUGUAUGUGGCUUACGCUGUGUCGAAGCAUUGUUAUGUUUCAUUGUUGCAUGUUUUCACCUAGGAUACAUAGUGCAAAGUGAAAAAUGAUGGCAAUUUAAGGUCUUCCUAUUAUGAUAUGGAAUUAGGAAAGAAGAUGAACUUUCUUUUCUGAUGAAAAUAUAACUAGUUUAGACUGUAGUCUGACUGUUUCCAUGUUCAAGUACUCUCUUCUUAUUAGACAUACUAAAGCUGCAAGUCCUACUACUAUAAUAAUUGCAACUGCCUCUAACAUGAAUAAGAAAAAUAAAAACCCUCUCGUAGGUUUCGAUGAAACUAUUCUUUCACAGUCAUUUAUAGAGUUGUUAUAUAAUUGUCUUGGUUUCUAAAUUUCUAAUUUGACAUGUACAAGUUUAAAAUUUGAUCUACCUUUUCCUGAAUCUUGCUUAUGUAGAUAUUCUGUGCCGUUUGGUUGAUUGCAUGUAGCUGACACACGAACUCAUGUAGAUUUGCAAUAGUCCAACUUGGUACCUUUUACGUGAAUAAAAUGUUAUAGUCAUAGUUCUAUGUGAUUAAUAGAUAGUAUCACUAGUCCAACUAUAUUCUCCAUCAACUUAUGUUAACCUGUGUUAUUACUAGCUCUAAAGAAUAUUUAUCUCACUCAAACCCGAGGGAAGAAGGGGAGAAAAAAAAAAACUCAAGUCGUAAUUUCUUACUUGUUGCGUUUCAUUUUCACUCUCUUGCAUUUGGUAACCCAUGAUUGUAGUUUUCUCUACUUUUUAUGUUUUAUUUUCUCUAAAUGUGUGUAUAUAUAUUUUUUCAAUCAUGAGCCAGAAUAUAAUUCCGAAUACUCAGUUUCUCUCUUAGAGAAACAUAUCUCAUCCUCCUUGUUUAGAUCUUGUGUCUAUUUCAAGCUUUUUUGGUGAGAUAACUAAAUAAUCUCAAUACCUUGUGAUGGAUGUUAACAUCGUCUUAUUGUAAGAAUGGACUCUACCUAUCUUCCACUCAGCCUUUACGAAUGCCACAAACAAAUUAAACCCCGCUUACUCCUGUCAUUUCUAGUAAUCUUUCUGAAUAUCCUACACUUCUUGAUAUUUUUGCUGCACCUUCUGAGCACUCUCUGUUGCACUAGAUUCAAUUUUAACAAGAUGGUCCUGAAUAUAUAAUUAUCGAAAGACUCUAUUCUUUACCUUUUAUUAGUAUUAUUUAGCUAAUAUUCUUUUUUGGUUUUCCGUAGGGUGAAAGGUAUUCGCUUUUUUGAAUGCCCACCGGGACAUGGCGCUGUCGUUAGGCCCGACAAAGUCAAGGUAUCAUGACUAUUCGACAAUGCAUACUUUAGUUGCCGAUUAUGUUUCGGAGCUUUACAUUUUGACACAAAACAUACUGUAAUUAGGUUGUUGAAAUAGGUUUUACUCUUUAAAUUAAUUUAGUAUCGAAUAAAUUGAAAUUAAAAUGGAAGUGUGGAAUCUACUUCUGACAAGUAUUUCAUCUGCAGGUUGGGGACUUUCCUGAGAGAGACCCAUUUGAAGAGGAAGAAGAGAUAUAACAAAUAUUGAAGUGUACAUAAGAUAAUUUUCUUCUUGCUGACAUUAAUGCAAAUUUCUGUGCUUUGUUUUGCAUUUACGAUCCUUUUUCUGAUUCGAAUUGUACUUCCAUUUUGUUGUAACCAAAUAUGAUCGACUUGCGCUGGAUUCGAAGAACUGCUUUGUAAUUUUAAACUAUUUAUCGGUUCUUGUUUUGAAUCUUAUGUAGUCACAUUUAAACUGGUCAUAGUUCAGAUACGUUUCAUAAGUUUUUGGGCAAUGCUACUAUGAACUAUUUUGAAUCGAUUAUUUAAUUUUUUGAAAUUUUGAUUUUUUAAAUUUGUUUGAUCUGAGUCGGUCAACGGUGCUUUUAUUUCAAAAUUUAAACAAAUUAUUUCUGUUGAUAAAUUGUAAGUAGUAUACCAACUAAAUCUAUAAAGAUAAACGAUAUAUUCAAAUUUGAAAGUUAAGAUUUAGUGAUUGACUCAAAUUUGAAAUUUGGGGAAUUUGGAUUGCGAAAUCAAAAUAGUCCGUGAUUUAGGUGAAGUUUUGUAAUGAGGGGAAAAAAAAACUUUAAUUUGCCCUGCAUUAUUUACUGUGUUGUUACUUCACUACAUUCCAGGUUAAACAGUUUUACUUUGUUGUCCUAUAAUUUUCUCUUUGUAUUACUAAGAUAGUAUAUUGAAACUAAAAUUUAUAAACAGGACUAAAAUUAAAUUAUAAUGUUUCUAAACAGGAUUAAAAUUAAUUUUAAAGCUAAAAUCUGUAAACGAGACUCAAAUUAAAUUAAAAAGGAAACAGGAUUAAAAUUCAAUAAUAAAGUUAAAAAUCAUAAACAGGAUUAAAAUUAAGGGUAACUUCAAAUACCAAUCAUGUGGUUUCACGCUUUCUCGCUUUAAUAUCCUGUGGUUUAAAGUGUAUCAAUUUAGUAAUAUGUGAUUUUAUUAUUUUUUUUUUGUCAGCUCUUUCGUUAACACUUCAUUAGAUUAUAUACAAAAAACUUCAAAUAUCUCAUCUAGAUUUCUCGAGUAUUUACUUGAGUACCUUUUAGUUUUAACUUUAUCACAAUUUUAAGAAAAAAAAAAUAGUAGAGGGGAUAAUAAAAAGAGAAAAAUAAAAUCAUGAGGUACUAAAUUGAUACAUUUUAAACCACAUGGUACUAAAAUAAAAAAGAACAAAACCACAGGGAUGGUAUUUGAAGUUUUUUCUAAAAUUAAUUAGAAAGGUAAAAUUUAUUAACAGGAUUAAAUUUAAAUUAAACAAGGAAACACUAAAUUUUACCUUGCGUUCUUAAGAUAGGAUACUAAAAUACUAAAAUUUAUAAACAGGAUUAAAAUUAAUUGUAAAGUUAAAAUUUAUUAACAGGACUAAAUUUAAAUUAAACAAGGAAACACUAAAGUUAAAACUUUCAUUGUGUUGCUAAGAUCGGAUACUAAAAUACUAAAAUUUAUAAACAGGAUUAAUGUUAAAUCAUAAAGUUAAAAUCCAUAAAGAGGAUUAAAAUUAAUUAUAAAGCUAAAAUUAAUUAAUAAGACUAAAUUUAAAUUAAAAAUAGAAACGAGCUCUUAUCAUAAAGUUAAAAAUCCAUAAACAGGAUUAAAAUUAAUUAUAAAGCUAAAAUAAUUAAUUAAUAGGACUAAAUUUAAAUUAAAAAUCACUAAAAUUUAUUAAUAGGAAUAGAUUUAAAUUAAAAAUAGAAACACGCCCGGUGGGACUCGAACCCACAAUCGCCUGAUUAGAAGUCAGACGCCUUAUCCAUUAGGCCACGGGCGCUCUUCGGAUUAAAAAUUAUAACAAAAUAUAUUUAUAUGUUAUUAAAUUAAAAUGUCAUUUAUUAAUAAAAUUGAAUAUAACCUACAAUGAUGUAGAUAAUAAUUAAGACUAAAAAAUAUAUGUUAGAGCAUCAAUAUUUAUGUAAUUUCAGUAUUGAUAAAUGAUGAUGAUCAUUAUAUAUGAUUCAACCGCGUAGUAACAUUUGAAUGUAAUGGCAAUUUAACAAUUUUAGCGUGGAAUUUAUGGGGAUAAUUUCCGCGUAUGAUUAAUUUAAAAGUCCCCCCCCCCCCUUUCUUUUUAUGUAAUAUUUAAAAGAUUCGUUGGUGUUGCAUUCAAUCAUGUGAAUGAAGGAACGCAUAAUAACAAGUAUGACUUCUUUAUAAUAAAAGUUAUAAUAAUAUUUGUGGCUAAGUGGAGUUUGUCAUUAUUAUUUUUAUAGCAAAUUUAACUAUCUGCCUUUCUUUUUUAUUUUAAUGGGGCUUCAUUUGUGUUUUAGAAAUGAACCCAGAACUUAGAAUUUUAGAUACUAAUCAUCAAAUUUUUAAACAAGUGCGUUAGGUACCGUUAGUAAAUGAAUUUGAUUGUCAACUAAAGUGGAGGUGAGAAUGUCAGAUUGAAUAACACAUAUUAGGAUUUCAAAAAAUAUAGAAUCUAAAUUUACUAUAAAUAAAAGUAUGUUUUUUUAAAAAAAAGCGGAUUGGUUGAUAUGGUAUAUUUUAUCAUUUCUCACCUAUUAAAUUUAAAUGUAAUUCUAAUCAGACCUUGAUAGUAAAUCGAUCUGAAUUCUAAAUAAAGAGAUAUUAGUCCCGCCAUCUUCUCAUAAUCUGAUAUAAUCUCUCCAUCAUAUAUUUUUCAGUUAGAAUUUGUUUGACCCUACUUUUUCAAGUGCAUGUUUUGAAGCAAGACAAGUAAUUAAGCUUGUUUUAAUAGGUUUCUGGAAGCUACUUUGCAGAGCUCAAGCUUCCUGCAAAAGCUCCCCCCAGUGCUAAAUUGGGCAGUCGGGCACAACUCACAAGUGCUGCUAAACAUGGUAUCGGCCACAUAAUUUGGCCUAGUACAUAUUUCAGAAAACAGAAGCUUUAAAUCUGAACUUUAACUUCUACAUUUUCAUAUUUAUAAUUAAAUUUUAUAUAUAUAUAUAUAUAUAGGUAGUUUAUAGUAGUAGGUAACGUAUUAGUAUAAUAUAUAUAUAGCAGGGUUUUACUAGUUAAGCCAGCAGCAUCCUUAUGCUUCCUAAUUUUUCUAAUACCCAGCAAAUUUUGAUAGAUGGUUAAAUGGAGCAGGAGAGGGAGAGAUGGAGGGAGAUAUGGGAGAAUUUGAAUGGUUUCAAUUUCUUUUCUCCUUGGGAAUUUAGAUCCAAUAUCUCCUCCUUCUCUCAUUCUAAUUCCACCCAUCAAACCUUAAUGAAUGCGUUAGAAAAUUUAGGAGCAUAAGCGCCUCGCCAUCUCCUAAUCAGGCACAAUAGCCCCUACUUUUAUCAUAUAUAGAGAUAUAGUAUAUAUACUGCUACUAGCUGAUCAGAUAGUUACCAAACCUUGUACUAUUGAUUUUCGGCCGUUGGAUGAAAUGCAUGUGCGGUUUAGGAUGAUAGUGGUCCCUAGUUAAAGAGUUGAUAGGUGGCUCCCCCGUAGGGUUGAGGUGGGUGUUUGUUUAAUCAGGUACUAAUCUAACGGGUGGAAAUAAUCAAAGGGUAGACUCUAACGGAUAGAAACUCAAUAAGUACCAAAGGGGCGGUUGGUACUAUCGAUUAAGUAUAGGUAAGGGACUAUAUUAUAUAUAUAUAUAGAUUCAGCUGAAAAUAACUCUUGUGAAUAGUAAAACGCUGCUUUUUGCUUGGCUAUAGUUUUUACCUUGAUGGAAAAAUUGUGCUAGGGGUUAAGGAAUAAAUAUUAGUCGGUUAAGGGAGGUCUGAGUGGGAGCAACUAGGCGUUAUGGAAGUGCGUCAAUGAACCCACUGGGUGGUAUAGAUAUUCUAUCCAAUGCAUUAGAAACAAUUAAAAAGAGCUUGAUCCAGAAGGUAAAAAAAUUGUAGCCAACAGUGAGGAUUUUUGGCUACUAAUAGUAGCCCAGUCCACAGUCUCUCUCGUCUCUCUCUCUCUCUCUCUCUCUCUCUCUCUCGUCUAUUAUAAUGGUAUAUAAGUAGUAGACUAAUAAUUAUAUAUAUAGUAAUUAUAUAAUAUUAUCGCGUAGUAACAAGUCGUUCUUACUACCAGAUUUUGUUUUUCGAGGAUAGAGGGGCUUGCUAAAUUGACGAUUCGGCUUCCGUUAAAUAAUGAUCUAAACCAUUUAAACAAAUACCUAGAAAUCAAAUAUUCACGCACUUGAUCAGAUAUUGUUCUUUAUUCCAAUCAACGUGAAUAAAAAAACGAUGGAAAUGGCCUGAAAAGAUAAAUACUCUUAUAAAAAGUAAAAAAUGAUGAGUAGAGAGUCUUGCAAUCAAGAUCAAGAAGUAUAGAAUCUUAAGUUUAAAAGAAUAUUUCUAAACAAAAAUAUCAAUUGAUUCUGGUAUACUUUACAGCAACUACAAACAAAAUGGUCAUAUUAGCGACACUUUGUGAAUAUAGGUACAUGCAAAAAAAGUGACUUAGGCUAAAAUUACCGACACUUUUAAAAAGUGUUACUGAUAUGGUUGGGCGAUCCUAGGGAGGUAUAUAGUGCAGUUACUAGAGCGUCGCUAUAAGCUAAAAGAGUGCUAGGCCUAAUUUGACGCAACACUUAUUAAGCAUUUAGCAACCGCCGAACUCAUAUCUCGAUUGGAUACGGUGGCGCGCGCAGGGAAGAGCGACGACACCAGAAAGGCCUCGUGUAAACGUCUAGAAUUUCAGUGAAGUAGAGCCUGAAGAGAGAAGAAAGAAUGGGUAAAUUGAUUUUUCUGUUUUUUUUUUUCUCUUUUCUCUUUAAAGAUAAUCGGAACCAAAUUGUUGACUCGGUUGUGUGCGUUGAGUUGAGUAGAGGUAAUCUUUUAUUUUUAGUUGGAUUGGGCUUUUAUUUAGGCAUUGUAGAUAUUUUUUUAAGUUUUAGGAUAAAUGGGCACGUUACUCAAAAAGCUGUCCGCAAACAUGGUUGCUCCCUAUAACCUAAUUCUGUUGUAGGGACGCCGGGUUGGGCAGUUAACAAAGAAAACGGCCUCUUACGACUAUUAAAAUUCAAUUUUUGAAACCUUUGAUCAUUAGGCAAUGGAUUGUCGGAAAGAUUAAAAUUUGAUUCUUUUCAAACACUUCAAGUGUCAUUAGAUCAUGUUCAACGGACCGAUCGUCAAUUUGGACAGCCCUAUCAUCGAAAACAAAUCGGUUAGUAAUGAACGCGUUCGUUUACUAGCCGAUUGUAUUCUAGUCAGAGUUGAGCUAGGAAUACUAUCGCGUAGUAACGGAGCCGUUUACCUCACCGAUUUGCUUCGAUGAUAGAGCUUCCAAAUUGACGAUCGGCUCCGUUAAAUAUGAUCUAAACUAUUUAAACUACCUAGAAAUUAAAUUUCACGCACUUUUGAUAUUGUUCUUUUAUUCAUCAAGUGAACAAAAAAAUGAAUGGCUGAAAAUAAAUACUCUUUAAAAAAUGAUGAUAGGAGUCUUGCAAUCAAGAUCAAGAGUAUAGAUCUUAAGUUUAAAAAAUUUUCUAAUAAAAAUUCAAUUGAUUUGGAUAUCUUUACGCCGUUAAACAAGAAAACGCCUCUUAUCGACUAUUAAAAUUACAAAUUUUGAAACCCUUUGAUCAUUAGGCAAAUGAUGUCGAAAAGAUUUAAAAUUUGAUUUCUAAACACUUCAAGUGGUAUAGAUCAUGUUCAACGGAGCCGAUUGUCAAUUUGAAAGUUCUAUCAUCAAAAACAAAUCGGUAGUAAAACGACUCGUUUACUACCGAUAGUAUUCUAGCUCAACUAUAUAUAUAUAUAAUAGCAAAAUAUGCUAAAAAUAUAUAUAUUCAUAAUAGCAAAAUAUGCUAAAAAUAUGCUAAACUUUUCAUUAUUGAAUUUCAAGAUUUUAGUUUUUUCUCAAGCGUUUUUUUUAUUCUUUUUCUACCCAAUUUACCAACCAACACAACAAAGCCAAUAAACAUAAAUAAAUAAAUAAAAGCAUCAUUAAUUUCAUCAUUGCCAUAACUAACAAUAUUAAUUAUUACUCAUAACCAUAUCAUGAUAUAGUAAUAUAAUAAUAAUAAUAAUAAUUGAACCUCAAAAGGAACUCAACCAGAGAUCACACAACAAACACUCUCCAAUUCUCCACCAUCGAUCUCAAUUAGAACCCCCCUCAACAAAAAGGAGAAAAGCAUAAAACAAAAACCAAAAAAAAAAAAGAGAAAAAAACAAAUGAAAAACUAAAACAUGCAUAUAUGCACCAUAUAUCAUCAUCCCCAGGCAACGUUAUACACACGUACGUAUUGUGUGUGUACGCAUGUAUGUAGAUUGAUCAGUACGUACGUACGUAGAAUUGUGAUUAAUGACUAGGCCGUGAGCUCUUCCUCCUUGUGGGUCUCGAUGACGAGGUCGGAGCGGGGGUAGGCGACGCAGGUGAGGACGUAGCCGGCGGCGAUCUGGUCGUCGUCGAGGAAGCUGCCGUCGGACUGGUCGAUCUCGCAGGACGAGCAGGAGCCGGCGCGGCAGGAGUAGGGCAGAUCGAUCCCCUGCUCCUCCACCGUGUCCAGGAUGUACACGUCCUCCGGGCAGCUCACCUCCACCUCCCCCGUCGGCGUUAUCAGCUUCACCUUGUACGCCAUCGCCGUCAUCCGUCCCCCCCGCCGCACUCCCACUCCCACUCCCACUCCCGCUCCCGCUCCCGCCCCGCCAAACAGACCGCCGCCACCCCCCGCCCUGCGGGGGAACGCGACGGUACUGCGCGGGGCAAACAAGGGCGUGGCCGUGGGCGGCGACGACAGAGCUGCUAUGGUAGCGGUGGCGGCCGCCAUUGAAUUGUUUAGACUUGGUGGUGGAGAAUGUGGAGGAGUGUGGAGAGGGAGAGAUAAGAGGAGGGCGGGGUAGGAUAUAAGAUGAGGGGGUGGAGGGUGGGGAGGGGUGACACGUGGAGGGAGAUGAGUGGGUGGGUUAUCCUGCGUUAGGGGAUAGGGGGAGUGAGCACGUCCACACGAUGGUUGAUGGGUGGUGAUUAGCGAUUGGUGAUCGGGGGAAGAGGGAGAGAUAGGGGGAGGAGAUCACGUGCAUCUGUUUUGGGUUGGAGGGUGGGAGAUCCGGUUUGAAUUUGUGGUUCGGAUUGAAGCUCAUUUUGUUCUCUCACCCAUUUUAGACUUAAAUAAGUGCUCAAAAGUCGGAAGUACUAGUUUCUUUAUAUUUUCAAUAAUAAAGCAGCUUUAUACACACACACACACGUAUAGAAUUGAGCUCCUAUACUUUUAGGCCAUGUUUGGUAAUAGGAUAAUUUCUUCGGGGUUAAAUUUUUUUAUUCCUAGAAUAUUGAGAUAUUCUAGGAUAGAGAGGAAUGAAAGUAAUUUUUUGUUUGGCAAAAUUUUUACUUAUUCUCUACAAUAGACAAAAUGAUGUUUGGUAACUUUCUUGAAAAAAGAGAAGAAUAAUUAGUAAAAUUGAUUGAAAUAUUUUAAAAUGCCAAGUUUGCCCUUAUAUAUACAGUGAAUUUUUUUCUUUGUAUAAUACAUAUACAAUACUUGAUAAAUUUGAAUAUAAUUUUUUCAAAUAUAAUUACAAUACAAAAAUUAUAAUUAAGAAAUAAUAAUUUUUUUGUGCAGAGCAGUGCAAUAUGCAGUAAGUAAGAUAAUUUUAAAUUAAUUUAUACAAUUAGAAAUCUAUAAUAACCAAUAAUAUAUGCAAUAGUAAUUAAUUUAUUUAACUGUCAAUAAAUUUACAUAGUUAAACAAAAAUCCUAAUAUAAAUUUACAUAGUUAAAUAAAAAUCCUAAUAUAAAUCUUAAUACAUUGAACAAACCAAAUCUCUAUAUGCUCAGAGAAGAUACGAGAGUUUUGAUAAGUGGGUAAAGUGGCGCGGUUUUCAAGGCAACCCAAAAAGAAGGCCGCUGCCUCUCGGGUUUCAGGAAUAAAUCUUAUUCCAUGGUUGGGAAAGAAUUAAAUUAACGGGUUAUUCUACUGAAAAUUGGAAUAGUCCGAUUUGACCAGUAUAAAUUGUUUUGGUACUUUUUUUUCGUUAGGCAGAAUAACGAGAAUAAAUUUGAUUAUUCUGUAGUUAUUCCGUUACCAAACGGAGCCUUUAAAAGCAUAAAGUCAUUGAUGCUUGUCAGUUUACAGCCUUUGGAUGAAGAUUUAUAGGGGUUAGGAUAACAGUGAUGACCUAUAGGGUUGAUAGGUGGCUGGUGGAAUAGCAUAAUCUAAGGAGCGGAGUUGGUCAAAGAAAUAAAUCUAACGGUAGAAAACUUAUAAGUACCAAAAGCUUGGUACUUUUAAAAAUGCCAUAGCUGGACUAUAUAGAGAGAGAGAGGGAGAGAGAGAGAGAGAGAGAGAGAGAGAGAGAGAUAUUAGAUAUUACUGUUUUUAGCAUUUGAAAUGCAAAUGAUGUCUAGGAUCUGGCCCAACUAAGAUUAACUGUAGAGCCCCACUAUCAAACUAGGCUCAUAAAAGUCCAGGCCCUGUUAUUGGCUUUUGUCCAUUCAGAUCCAACAAGGAAAAGCAUGGUCAUUUUGAAGUGGGCCUCAUCCUAGGUCUAAUACAUUUUUAACUUGUCCUAAAAAAACAAUUUUAAAGUGCUAAAUUUUGACCCAACCACAAUUUAAUGGGCUAGAGUAACAACAACACUAUGUAUCAAUUUGUUUCUUUUUUUUCAAAAUAAAAAUAAAAAUUGUUCCACCAAAAUUGUUCGGCUGGAUAAUUUAAAUUAUCGGAGAAGAAAGAAUUUUGAAGUUUAUUGAUUGUAAAGAAAAUUACAAUAGAUGAAAACAAAAGUAAUUUGGUUUGGAUUCUCUGCUUAGACUUGACCUUUCAAAGAACGCUACGUUCGGCCGUUUGGAACAAAUAGAACUAUAAAUCUUUGAGAACUUAUCAAUUCGGUCAAAAAUCUUAAUUAUGAUUGAAACCUUUGAAGAACUUGUCAAAGGAAAGAGUUAAAUCUAUUAACUACUUAAUCUGUUCUCCAACUAAAACUAGCAGAAACUACUGAAUGCUAAAACUACCUACACUCUCUAAACCUCUUUCUCGAACUCUUAAAUUUUUCUUGAAUGAAUGCAUCAAUCAGUAAUUCCUUUUACCCUCUCUCUUUAGGUAUAUAUAGCCUUUAUAAAUCGGACUCCGAGUCCUACAAAAUUUCAGUCAAAUUUUGAAAUCUUACUUUGCAGUUAUCUCUUUAUUUAUGAUGAAUGGCCGAGAUCGCUUGAUGCAAUGGUUUAGAUUUCUUCUUUCUUAUUCAAGUCUAUCUCAUCUUUUUUAAGUAUCAAAGGCUCAGAUCAAAAAUCGGGAAAGAUGUAACUCGUCCUAAACCCGCCCCUAUCCACCAAGCAAAUACAGCGGGAGACGAGAGACCCUUUUCUUUCUUUAAUCCGUCCCGAUCCGUCGAAAGUCUACCAAAAAUCUGCUCCAACCUUGAUUCACCCCGAAUAAAACAGUAAGUGAGAGCCAAAACUAGGAUUAAAAAUAAUUCGCUCAGAAUCUGCUCUGACUCGACAAGAAAUUUAGCAAAAAGUAAUUCAACGAAAAAUCCCUCCUGCACCCAGGAUCUAUCUUGUGCAUCUAACGCUAACAAACAAACUAGAUAUUGAAAAAACAAAGUAUGUAGAGAUAUGUAUUUAUGCUUUGCAAUGGAACCACAAAAAAUAUAUUAUCACCGAUUAAUUGCGAUAUAUGAAACACAAUAUUACUUAUGAAAAUAAAUAAAAAAUUAUUUAUUCAAGUAAAGUAAUCACCUCGUCAUACUAAACAAAGCCUUCUUAUUUCUCUAACAAUAACAAUAAAGAAAAGAAAAAACUUUAAAUAUCACUCCCUAUAUUUUCACGUUUUCUCACUUCAGUACUAUGUGAUUUAAAAUGUAUCUAUCCUAUAAUUUUAUUUUUCUCUUUCCGUUAUUCUCUAUAUUAAUUUUUUCGUUAAAUCAGUGACAAAAUUAAAACCAUAUAAUAUUACAGUACCAAUUCUGUAAACCAAAGAAUAAUAAGGUGAAUAUUUGAUAAAUUAUAGAUAGGGUAUCUGAACGAAAAGUUAACGGANAAAAAAAAAAAAAAAAAAAAAAAAAAAAAAAAAAAAAAAAAAAAAAAAAAAAAAAAAAAAAAAAAAAAAAAAAAAAAAAAAAAAAAAAAAAAAAAAAAAAAAAAAAAAAAAAAAAAAAAAAAAAAAAAAAAAAAAAAAAAAAAAAAAAAAAAAAAAAAAAAAAAAAAAAAAAAAAAAAAAAAAAAAAAAAAAAAAAAAAAAAAAAAAAAAAAAAAAAAAAAAAAAAAAAAAAAAAAAAAAAAAAAAAAAAAAAAAAAAAAAAAAAAAAAAAAAAAAAAAAAAAAAAAAAAAAAAAAAAAAAAAAAAAAAAAAAAAAAAAAAAAAAAAAAAAAAAAAAAAAAAAAAAAAAAAAAAAAAAAAAAAAAAAAAAAAAAAAAAAAAAAAAAAAAAAAAAAAAAAAAAAAAAAAAAAAAAAAAAAAAAAAAAAAAAAAAAAAAAAAAAAAAAAAAAAAAAAAAAAAAAAAAAAAAAAAAAAAAAAAAAAAAAAAAAAACUAUAGAAUACUAAAAUGAUAUAUUUUAAACUAUAAUUUUUUUUUUUUAGAGAAAGAUAGCAUACUAUCUGUUUCGUUUAUUUUUUGUAGAAAUAAACUCAGCUGGAAAUGUGAAUCAACUAGAAAUCGAAUUUGGGAUCUCGGGUACCAACCAUCGAACCUUUUGUCACUUGCGUGAGGAACGGUCGGUUAAAAAGUAUUAAAGUGAAAAAGUGCGAAAUUACAUAGAUGAUAUUUGAAGUUUACCCUAAUAAUAACAAUAAUAAUGAUAAUGAUAAUGAUAAUGAUAAUGGAGAUGAUAUGAUAUUGUUGAGCACGAUUGAGCAGAGAUGAAGCCACACGCGUCCACCAACCCUCGCAAGGUUUGGGGGUUGUCACGUGCGGGGAGCGUGCACACGUGGAGUUUGACCGGCUUCCAUUGUCACAAGGCACGCGUGAAAGGGUGACUCGGUUGCCGGCCGCCCGUAUACGUAGUUCAAUGAAUUUACUUUCUCGCUNUGAAGAGCUAAUAAUAGUAAGCAGGGAAAUUAGGGGUGGAGAAGGGGACGAGGGGGCGGGAGCAGGAGGAGCAGUGGAACCUGCGCUUGGUCCUGAAGCAGAUGGGGAGGAGGAAGCAGAACCUGCAGGCGCUCUCGACGUCGGCGGCGACGACGCCGCCUCCGCAGAACGGGCAGCUCCCCGGCGCCUGCUGCGGCGCCCCCACCACCCUCUCCUCCUCGUCGCACACCAACACCACCGGAAUACACAUCUCCUCCUCCCCCCUCCUCAAUUCCCUCAAUUCCCCCAAUUCCCCUACUACCGCUACUACUAAGAUCUCGAUUUCUCUCUCUCUCUCUCUCUCUCUCUCUCUCUCUCUCUCUCUAUAUAUAUAUAUAUAUACUUUUACGAAGAGGAAGGGGUUUGUUGUUGUUGAGAAGAAUCAGAUGCGCAACGGAGGGAAAGGAAGGUUCUAUAGACUUCUAGGAUCCUCUCUAAUUUCAAACACUAGAAAUUACUGUGAGACAAAAAAAAAAAAAAAAAAAAAAAAAAAAAAAAAAAACUUUAAAAAUAAUUACAAUCAAAUUUCACUAAUCCAAUUUAGUUGAUCACUUGGGCCGUUAGAACGAAACUCAAAAUGCUCCAGUCUUUUAUUUAUCAACAAACGUCACGUCACGUCACGUCUUUUUUUUUUGGAUAAAAUUUUUGAUUCUUCGAAAAUGCUACGCAAGCCCAUCAAACAGCUAAUUGGAUUCUGUCUAGUAAAAAAUAAAUAUACUGUGUGCUUUUUUCUUUUUCUUUUUUUGAGGAAUUCUUUAAUUCUGUAUCGUCUUAUUUUGUUUAAAUAAAUUUUUCGCUCUCGAGCAAUUUUCCUCAAAAAAAAAAAAAAUGACGCGUUCAUGUGAGAUAUUAAUUUUUGACGCAUCAUCAAUCACAAUACUGCUAUGUCACUUCCAUAUUAAUGAUGCAUCAAUAUUUAGUCAAUUGAAUUGGGUUGUAUGAAUUGAUUGUAAUAAUUUUGAAAAUUCAAAAUACAAAUCACAACAAAUUGAAUUUUGAUGAUCAAGGUAUCACCAAUAAAACAAAAAAAAAAGAGACUACUAUUGAUUUGGGAAAAAGAAGUAUUGAUUUUUGACAAAAUUGAAUAAAAAUUUAUCACAAGUAUUUUAUAAUAGUAAAGAUAUUCCUCCCACGGCGAAAAUAUGUUGGAAUGAAAGUACAAUGAAAGAUUUUUUUUUUUUUCUGCUAAUACUAUAGAAAUUAUAUUUUAAUUAACUUAUUACAAUAUGCGUGAUAUAAUAUUAUUUAUGAAAAUAAAUAAAUUACUUCCUAUUGGAACAAUCUUAAUAGUUUNUUUUUUUUUUUUUUUUUUUUUUUUUUUUUUUGCACAUAUACCCUCCAAAAGGUCAGGCUUUUACACUCCAAAAUCUUGUUAUUUAUUUAUAUUUUUGAAGACCCAAUUGCUUACAUAAAUGCACUAUUUCAGCUAGGAUUUUUUUUUUUAUUUUAAUUUUCUUUUGGUGAGGGUGCUUGUAGCCCCACUCCUCCCUCCCAACACAAGAGUCGCACAAAUUUAAUGGCUUAUCCAAAAAAAAAAAAAAAGUGAGAAAAUGAUACACAUUGCAAAUUAUAGAUUAUCCAUUUGAGAUUAUUAUGAUAGUCAAACUCAGAAACACAUAUAUAAUAAUAUGAGAAAAUGAUACACAUUGCAAGUAUAGAUUAUGCAAUGUGAAUUCUUUUUGAAAAAAAUGUAAAUAACCAGAUUGUUUAGCAUGCAUUUUUAUUGCGUGAGCUGAUUGAAGAGAUAAUAAAUCAAAAUUUAAAAAUGAAUGAGAAUGUCAUGUGCAAGCGACCUGAGUCCAUAAUCUUGUGAGAAUCGAGAACCUUUAUCUUUGUUGAUAUGAUAUCCAAUUUUAACACUAAAAUGUGGAUGAAUUUGAGGAUUGUUGGCUUAAAUGAGCCAGCAUUCUGCUCUGUGACAGGAGGCUAAGUAAGCCGAGUCACGUUCGAAUUGGCGUGAGGCUAGAUUGGGCCGAGUCAUGUUAGAAGGGGCGUAAGGCUAGGUGUGCCGAGUUAGAAUCCAGACCCUUGGGCGCUAUAUCUGUACGCUUUAAGUGAAUUAAUUGCGUAUUUCUAACAGCUCGAGCUUUUGGGAUUAAUAGUUAGCACCAACGAUCCGACAAGUGGUAUCAGAGCCAGAGUUCACGAGUUUGAUUCCCGCAUGCUGCGAAUUUGUGUAGGUACUGGAGGGGGGAUUGUCAGCUUAAAUGGGUCAGAGCCAGAGAUCACGACUUCAAUAAAAUUAAUGCUGCGAAUUUGUGCAAGUGAUGAAGGGGGGAUUGUCAGCUUAAAUGGGCUAGUAUCCUGCCUUCUGGCGUGAGACAGGAUUGGGCCGAGCCAUAUUCGAAGUGGCGCAAGGCUGAAUGGGCUCAGUCACAAUCGAGAUCCGUGAAUACUGUAUUUAUACGUUUUAAGUGAAUUGUUAUGUAUUUCUAACAGCUCAACCUUUUAGGGUUAAUGAUUAGCGCCGAGUCACAAUCGAGACCCGUGAACGCUGUAUCUGUAUGUUUUAAAUAAAUUGGUUAUGUAUUUCUAGUAACUCGAAUUUUUAGGAUCAAUGGUUAGCACCAACGAUCCGACAAGAAUUACAUGUGUACUAGACGGACAAAGCCAAGAAGGAUUUCGGCAUAAGAUUUGAGAUUUGACAGAGAGAUAUAGAUUUUACUGAAGACCGUUUCAAACGAACGCCACAGCAAAACCCAAAAAAGAAUGAUUUGAAAUGUAGGACCAUACAAAUAAUUGGAAUUCAAAUGAUUACUGUCGAAUACGGGCGUGAACGCGAGCGAGCUCGGUCUCAUGCCGAACACGAGCUAACCAACGGACAAUAAGUUAAAUGGAUUAGAUUAUAUAUAUACAAAAAAUAAAUUUAUAAAAUCUUACCCAUUAGACUUUGAUCUAAUAGUUAGAAUUUUACAUAUAAAUAAGUCUUUUUAUAAUUGAGCUCGGCUUUAUAUUUUUUCUUUACUAAACAUAAAAUAAUAAAAAUAUAUAUUAUAUAUAAUUAUUUAUUGAGGAAAACUUUAAAUACCAUCUAUGUGGUUUUACACUUUCUUAUUUUAGUGUCAUGUGGUUUAAAGUGUAUCAAUUUAGUACACUGUGGUUUUCUUUUCAUCCUUUUAUUAUCGAUUUCACUAAUUUUUUUUCGUUAAAUUAAUGACAAAGUUAAAACUAAAGGAUGCUAAAGUAAAUAUUCGAUAAAUCUAGGUGAGGUGUCUAAAUUUUUUUUACAUAAUUCAACGAAAUAUUAACGAAAAAGCUGACGAAAAGAUAAAAACGAAACCACAUGUGUCACGCCCCGGAUUACACUUUCCCCGGGCACGCCGACAAAUCCGCCGUAUACAAAGGAAUUUCCCCUAUAUACGAAGCGUUAGCUGUACCUGUAAAUCAAACACUACUACGAACAGUAGUAGAGAGCUGCUAGAGAAAACAGAAGCUAAACAAACUGAGUUUCAUAUACAUAGUCCAAAUCCAAAAUACAAAGCUACUCGCACUGGCGAGUUAAGUCCACUAUGUACAUAAACUCGAAACAAAACAUCUACCUGCAGUAGGGGCACCUCUAGCUCAGCACGUCGGGUAGGGCUCUAACUCGCGACGCCCUUACCUCGAUCCUGAUCCGCGGAAGGCGCAGCAGCCGAAACCUGUGGCUCUGCAAAACGGGGGUAACAACUGGGCGUGAGAACUACUAUAAAAACAAGUAGUCCUCAGUGGGUACCGCCCAAAACAACAUCGGUCCACCCACUAAGUCUACAGGAGGGAGCAAGAAUAGUAGGAAAAGCAGGAAACAAACUCAACCGCUACAAAUCACUAUACUAUCAUGCUCUACACUAACCAACUGUAGGAAAUGUCAAAUCUGACCCAAUCCAAUCGGGACUGUAGACAUACCCGUCCCUGGGACUGUGAACACACCCGUCCCUGCCCCGUUGCGACUAUCGGGCUCUAUCCACACUAACUGGUCCGUGGAGAGCAAGUCCAACUGGCAUGAGCGACACCAACGCAAAAGCACAAGCCUGACUCCGGAGUGGCACUCGUGGGCGCUACCCAACCGAGUAUGCAGCGUAUCUCUGUCGAGCUCAAUCAGGCUCCAACUAGCCAAAGUCAAGUAAUCGACUUAAACUGGUCUAACAACCAACAGGUAACGUGCCCUCGGCACAAUCUGACGCCAAAAAGGCGAUACGGUCCACCGUCAACUCUGACGGCACCCAACAGUCCGAAACGGCCUGAACGACCCUGCAAAAAUUCACUCGGCGAACCAGCACGAGUGUAAAUACAUUCUAAACUACCCAAGGUAUCCAUUGCACUGACUCGGCAACGAUACAAUCGAACACGGCUCCUAGAGCUAAAUCUGGUAGUUUAAGCAUAUGACGGGUCAAAACGCAGGUUUUCUCCUAAGUCAAAUUUCAAGUCCAACAUGUAUAAUUUAAAUAUUCAUUUCAGCAUGCUUCUACAUUCAUAUUACAUUCAAAAUGCUAAUCGAUGAAUUAAAGCAUGAUUUACAACACUCGAACUAUACACGUUGACUAACAUGCACUUAGGAGCGAAACCGAUGAAACACCCACCUCUAAUGCAAUUCCUGGCAGCAAUAGGGUCUCGGAUCCUCAAGCAACACUGCUGGAAACCUCUUCAAACCAGCAACAAAGCCCCUUAAGAUCUGGAUUUACAAUGCACCCAAAAAUCCAAUAAAAAUCAUCAAAAUCCACAAUUCAGUCCAAGUACACAGCAGCAGAGAAGAGAAGGGUUUCGACCAAGCUAACCUUCACCAAAAUCCACAAGUAAGGACUUCGUGGAUUCUUCUCGCAGUCCCGAAACCAACGAAUCAAGUCUCGACGAAAUCCGAUGCUCCUACGUCGAGUACGAGCUGAAAUACUAACAGUCGACGAUGAAUUUCAGCAAAACAGCAUUUAAGCUUAAAUAUCUCAAUUCCAAUGUCAAAACUCACCAAACGAACUCCAAAUCAGGUGGAGAGGGUCCCAAUUCCAGUACUGGGUGAUAGGGAAAAUAACUCAACUCCACAAAGCCCCUGCUUCCCAAGUUCACCCCAAGAAAACAUCAAAAAUUGGCAAAUUCUGUCCAAAGCAACAACAGCAGAGGAAAACCUGAGUUCGACUGAGCUAACCUUCACCAAAUUCUGCAAAUUAGGGCUUCGUGGAUUCCUCUGGAAGUCAAGAAUCCAGCAAACCAAGUUUCGUUGAAAUCCGACCUUCCUACGUCACGCACGAGCCAAAACACUGGAGGUCGUCGCUGAAGAACUGCAAAAUCAGCACCUUGCAAUUCUUGGAGAGGUGGAUCUUGAUGCAAAUUGGAAAGAUUUGAGGGAUUUGGGAGUAAAAUCUAAGUCCUCUGUGAAGAACAGGUAAAAGAGCUCAAAGGGGGCGCUUCUCAGCUAUUUAUAGGCUGCUGGAUAGAUCAGAUAAGCCCCAGGAAAAAUAGCCGCAAUCCAGUGCCCCUGCAGAAACGGGCGUUUCUGGGCGCCCGGAACCAUGUUCUGGGCGACCAGAACAUCCGGCCUGCACAAAAUGGGCCCCUCGGACUCUCCGCCCGCGGUGUGCUGCGCCCGUAAACGGCACCGGCGGAACUCACCUACCGCCCUGCCACGCGUCGAAGCAAGCGAUAUUCACGAGGUGAAAUUUCUGGACCCACUUCUGGGCGCCCGGAACAUAGGAUCCGAAUUGGCUUCCAGUUUCAAUUAAAAUCAACACUCGUUUCUGGGCGACCCUAACAAUGUUCUGGGCGCCCGAAUCUGGCAAAACUUCAGUUUUGCUUAUUUGAGUGCGCCGAGUCCAAUUCUGCAUCCAAUUCGUGCAGAAUUGACUCCGACUCAGUCCGACACUCUCCAGAGAUGUCGACCAGUCUAUAAUACUGAAGCCAAUCCUAUCCAAAGCUCAGGAACACUACAACAUGACACUAACUUAAUACACUUUAAACUACAGGGUACUAAAUUGAGAAAGUGUGAAACCACAGAGGUAGUAUUUGAAGUUUACCCUUAUUUAUUUAUAGGGGCAAUUUCAUAGAUACCCCUUUCAAAGCUUAAAAUAUUAUGUAUGCCCUUCUAAAGAUUAAAAUAUCAUAUAUACCCCUGUAAAUAUCGAAAAUUAACAUCAAUACCCCUACUGUUAGUUGUUCUAACUUUACCAUAGUUAUUAAAUGGUUAAAGAUGGGUUAACUUUUAAUAUNAAAUUAACAUCAAUACCCCUACUGUUAGUUGUUCUAACUUUACCAUAGUUAUUAAAUGGUUAAAGAUGGGUUAACUUUUAAUAUGACCAGUUUACCCUUAGCUCCCUUAAGUAAAAAUGUAUGGAGACCCCCUCAACUAUAUGUCCUUUUAAAACAGCUUCCUCAACUUUUAUAUUUUAGUUGACAUUCCAUUAAUUUUUAGUUUUUAAAAUAUUAACUAAUUUUAGUACAUGAAAAAUGAGAAUUUUGUCAAGUUUUUUUUGAUGAUUUCACUAAAUUUAGUGGCGCUAUUUAUAUUUUUAGCAAAUAAAUAACUAUGUAUAAAAAUUUAAAUAAAAAACAAAGUUGAGGAUUUUUUUCGAUCUUUCUUUAAUCUUGGAAGCUUCCAAAAUAUUUUAACCAAAAUUAUUCACGAUAAUUUUAUCUGUAUUAAAUGCAUUAAAAAACUGAAAUAUAAUAUAUUUUAGCUUUUGAACAAAACUCUCUCUCUUUUUUUUCAAUCGACAAAAAAAAUGCAUGCAUAUAGUUUUGUGAUUUAUUUUUGCUUAAAUAGAAAAAAAAAAUUAAAUCUACCAUUUAUUUCAAAAUUACUAUUACUGAUUAGGAAUGCGAAUUGAUAUAGGUAUAUCUGAACUCAAUUUUGAAUGGAUGAACUUAAUUGAUGCUGAGUAGAGAUAGUUUCAGUUAUAGGUGCAAAAAAAGAAGUCUCAUUAUAUUCUAAUUCAGUUAUGAUUUUGAUCUAUAUCCAAACGGAACUUGAACCGAAAUCCGAAGUCAAAAACAAAACCAAAAUUAUAUAAAAACAUAUUAUAUAUAAAAUACAUUUUUUUAUAUAUUUUUAAUAAAUAAUAUAUAUUAUAAUUUUUUAUAUAUUGGAGGGUAUUUAUGAUAUUAUCAAUUUUAGAAGGGUAUUGAUGAAAUUAAUGGUUUCCAUAAGGGCAUCUAUGAAAUUAUCCCUUAUUUAUAUAUAUAAAUAUAUAAUAUAAAUUAAAUAAAUUAUAUAAAUAUAAAAUAUAUAUAUUUCGAGCUGUUAUCGAGCCGAACACGAGCGAGCUGAUCCUAGCUCGUGUUUGGCUCGUUUAUUAAACGAGCUGAAAAAUUUAGCAUUUGCUCGGCUCGUUUAGUAAACGAACGAUUCGAACUCGAGCUCAUUUCAAACCGAAUAUGAGCUGGCUUGCGAACAGCGAGCUGGAUUACCACCCCUACUAUCGAAGAUAUAUUUCAAAAAUGGGUGCGAUAUUAGAGAAUAUCUCCUACAAUUUUACCUAGAGUCCUCCCACGUGAGAUUCGAACUCAUAACUACUUACAAAUGCACAUCCCAUGCACCCAGAUACCUUAUUCUUAAUGGAAUUUAUCUAUUUAUUUUAGGGAAGGACCAUCAAUGGAAACAUAUGUCACCGCAUGCAAAACAGCCCUUGCUGUUGAGUAGGGGUGGAAACGAGCUGAGCCCGAGCGAGCUUGCCUCAGCUCAAAUUCGGCUUGAAAUUAAUUUCGAGCCUAAAUUUAAGCUCAAGCUCGGCUUGAAAUUAAUUCGAGCCGAGCUCGAGCGAGCCUAAUUUCGAGUCGAGCGAGCUCGAGCCCUAAGCGAGCCGCUUGAAAUUCUCAACAUUGUACGAUUAAUAGUUUAAUUUGUAUAGAACAUUAUUUAUAAUUUGAUACAAAAAUAUAUCUAAUAGUUCAAGAUACAAAAUAAUUAUAUGAAAUACGAUAUUAUAAUAUAAAAAAAAAAUAAUUUACGAGUUGAAUAUCUAAUUUUUUCAGCUUCGCAUGUCUUCUCUUCCGCCUUCAAUUUUCAUAUUAUUCUUUUUCACCUAUGCGGUCAAAAAAUGAAUAAAUUAUAUAGACAAAUAUUAGAUUAAACUAUCUAAUUAUAUAUAACUAAAAUCAAAAUUUUAUAUAAAUAAUAAUUUUCUACCUUAAAAAUAUUCUGUAUAUUUUCUCAAGCACACAAUUAAUGGCAAGGUAGGCAACAGCGGGCGCGUGCUGUUACUUGAUAACUUGGGGGGCUUCAGGUUUGGCCGCUUGAGGAGAGAGAGAGAGAGAGAGAGAGAGAGAGAGAGAGAAGGAAUUUAAGGCUUUGUAAAAGAAAAGGAGGGAGAGAGUGUAAAUUUAGUAAAAUUUUACCUUUUUGUUGGCAUAUUGGGUUUGUUCUUAUGGCCCAGCAAUAUUGGCUCAAUUUUAACUAAACUUAGGUUACUCACUUAGCCUAUAUAUAUAUAUAUAUAUAUUCGAGCUUUUCGAGCCUAAUUCGAGCGAGCCGAGUAAUACUCAAGCUCGGCUUGAAAUGAAUUUCGAGCCUUUUUUUUUGUUCAAGCUCGGCUCAUCUAAUUUCGAGCCGAGCUCGAGCGAGCCGAAUAUCGAGCCGAACGCGAGUCGAACGCGAGCCGGCUCGCUCGUUUGCCAGCCCUACUGUUGAGAACAAGGUAACAAGUUUUUGUCUUAAAACCGACCAUUCCUAGAGCAAGUAGCAAGGGAUUGGUGAUUGGUACCCGAGGUCCCAAGUGCGAAUCCUAGUUGAUUCACAUUUCCAGCUAAGUUUAUUUCUAAAUGAAAUAAACGAAACAAGUAGCGUGCUACCUAUCUCUCAAAAAAAAAAAAAAAAAAGGUUUUUUCUCAAAAAAAAAAGAAAAGAAAUUAAUGAUCAAGGUCACAAGUUACAUAUAUAUAACUCUAUUAGUUUGAAAUAUAAUUUAAUGAGCAUUACUAUCGAUCAUUCCUACUGCAAGUGGCAAAGGAUUUGAUGGUUAAUACCUGAGGUUCAAAGUUUGAAUCCUAAUUGAUUCACAUUUCCAGCUAAGUUUAUUUUUAAAUGAAAUAAACGAAGUGGGUAGCAUGCUGUACCUAUUUCUCAAAAACAAAAUUUAAUGAGCAUUGUUCGAUCUAUGCACCAACAAAAAGUGGUGUAUAUCUUGCACCCCCUUAUUCAAUAAUCAAAAUUGAUCCUUGUCUUGUUAUUUUUUUUUUAAAUACUAAAAAUCUAAUAAUUUUAUAAUCUCUAGAAUAAAGGGAUGCAAGAUGUACACUCUAUUUUAUAGUGUACAAGUAUAAUUUUCUGUUAAAUAUAACAAGAUCAUUAUCUGUCAGUUUAAACUUUUAGAGUAUAACGAUUGUUUCACAUAAUUCAACGUGGUAUCACAGCAGGAGGUCCUGAGUUCGAGUCAAGCCAUGUCCUAGCAAAAUUAAUUUUCUCUUAUUUAAUUCAAAACCAGGUCAUGGACCUAUUAAAAAAUCUCGAGGCCAGAUUUGAAUAUAAAAAUACCAUUUUACCGGCUUAACUUUUUAGAGACAACUGUUUAUCAAAAAAUCUCGAACCCAAACGUGAAAAUAAAACUAUAAUAUUCUACCGACUUUAGUUUUUAGAAACAACUUCUUUAAAAAAAUCUCAAGCCAAGAUAGAGAGAAUGAUAAAUAUAAAAAUACAAUUUUCUGUCCGCUUAAGUUUUUAGAGUUAACCACUGUUCCGUAUAAUUUAAUAUUUUUCUAUUUUAAUAUAUUUCUCUAGCUCUAAAGUGCCUAAAUCAAAGCAAAAAUUAGAAGAGGAGAGAGAGAGAGAGAGAGAGAGAGAGAAAAGUGGAGAGAGAAAAAGGGGUGGAAAUAAGAACAAGCCUAGAUUAUACUUCAAGCUAUCAUUAAUUAAAGGGUAAACUUCAAAUAUCACCCUUGUGGUUUCUCACUUUCUCACUUUAGUAUCAUGUAGUUUAAAGUGUAUCAAGUUAGUGUCUCGUGGUUUUAUUUUUAUCUUUUCGUCAGUUUUUUCGUUAAUAUUGUAUUAAAUUAUAUGCAAAAAAUUUCAGAUAUCCCAUCUAGAUUUAUCGAAUAUUCACUUUAAUACUCUUUGGUUUUAAUUUUAUCACUGAUUUAACGAAAAAAAUUAGUAGAAUCGAUAAUAAAAAGAUAAAAAUAAAAUCACAGUGCAGUAAAUUGAUACACUUUAAACCACAGGGUAAUAAAGUGAGAAAGUGUGAAACUUAAGGGAUAGUAUUUGAAGGUUUUUAUUAAUUAAAUAAACUUCUUAAUAUAUUUUUACUUGGAAAACAUUAUGCACCAAAACUCCAAUCAUGCCAAAUAAGUUCCACAAGUACAAGGAAAGCAAGAAUUAAUUAAUGAAACUGCAAAGCGUGACAAAAAAGUAAUAUUCUCCUUAAAUACAUUAAUUGCAUUAAUUUAUACAUUUGAUGCUACAAAUUGUAGCCUAUAUAAUACGCUUAUUAAUUUAUUCUCUUCCAUAGGAAAACCCACAAAAUUAAGAAAUUAGCAUGGGUAUGAAAAAGGCCUUUUUAGUUAGUUAGGUUAUGUUAGGUCGACACAAAUCAAUGAGUAAAUUGUAUACGUGCAUGGUUGAUGAUAAGCCACAUACGAUUAUAAAUUCCAUGAAAAAAAAAAAAAAAAAAAAGCCCUCAUGUGAUUAUGAAGUUCAUGUUGAGCACAAUUAUUGGUAUGCUCAUUAAUUAUAUUCACAUAGGUGAAAAUAUAGUGAGACCCCCGCAAGUACGGGCGAUCUGAAAUAGCACCCCCAACUUUAAAUUUUUUUUUUGGCUAAAUUACAGAAAAUGCUCAUGCAAAUACCUUUUUUUUUUCAUUAAUUUGUCUUUCCUAACUUUCAAAAAUCUAUAUUUUGCCUCCUUUAAAAUUUAAAAAAUAUUUUCAAGGCCGGAGAGGGGGUUACAACGUUAAUGGAGAGGGUAAAAUGACCAAAAUUACUCUUAUUUUUUAUAUAAAAAAUAAUUUUUUAAUACAUUUAUGUCAUUUUUGAAGGACAUUUUUUGUAUAAAUUAUAAGAGGUGGACGGAAUAGUCAUGGAACCCUGACGAAGACGGCUAAAUGCAACAACUUGAAAUAUUAAUGGGGUAAAAUAUAAAUUUUUGAAAGUUAGAAAGGAAAAGUAAAAAAAUGAGUAUUUAUAAGGGGUUUUCUGUAAUUUAGCCUUAUUUUUAUUGACUAAUUUAACUUCUAAUUUUUUUGAAUUAUAUUCUUGUAGUUAACUAUGUUAGAAAAUUAAUAUUGUUGACUUUCAUGGCUCAAGUAGUCAUUAGUAGUUAAUUAAUCUAAUUUUAUUCACUAUAAAAUAGUUUAAAUAGAAUUAUUAAUUAAUUUGGCAAAAUUCUUAAACUUUUUGGCUAAAAUCGAUUAAUUCUAAAAAAAAUAAAGUUAAGAGGGUUUCAAGGAAAAAAAAACUGAAAAGUGAGGUUCCUUUUUAGAAUAGCAAAUAGUUAGAGGGUCUUCAUACAUUUUACCUACUCACAUAAAUAGAGAAUUGAUAUGGCAAAUGCAAUAAAUAUUAUUGUUACAACACAUGUAUUGUAUGUGAUCAUAUUUUGAAUCUUGUUGUUCUUGCAAUAGUAUACAUUGCUUUAGCAAUAAUAGUGUGUCACAGGAGUUUUCUUAUAUGUCAAUUUUAGUGAUCGAGCAUCUGAAUCGAUAAUUGGUAUUAUUAAACAUAAUCAAUUUAGUAUACUAAAAACUAAAUUUUAUAAUUUUGGCACAUCUAAUAUUCAAUUAUAUAUAGUUCAAAAAAAUUAACAAUUUUCGAAGACUAAUGUAAGAUGAAUUCAACGUCACUUGAUCACUAGGCAUAAAAUAACGUAAAAUCAUAAAAUUUGAAAUAGCUUAGAUCAUAUGUAACGAUAUCGAUCGUCGAUUCUAAUGCCUCAUCUUCAAAAUCAAUGCGGAAACAAACUCCUUGGUUUACCUCUAGAAGCAUUGUAGCCUAAUUCAGAUAAGAUACACAUGUACUUCAAAACUGCAUGAUUAGUUCAUGAUUGAGUGAUGAGUUGUAAAUUUGUAGAGGAAUAUGUGUUCUCUAGAUAGGAUUUUAUUUAUUUUUUUCUUUUUGAGAGAUGUGUUCUGUUGGAUCUAAUCAUCAAUACCUAUUUUUAUACAUUAGGCCCCCAUUAAUGAGCUCUUGAUGUGGAAAAUGACCCUGCUACAUAAGCCUUUAUCUCAUCAACACAUGACACCUGUAUAAUUUAUGAUUAAUUUGCAUUUGGUAAUGGACAAAUGAUUCAGAUCCUCUAUAGCUGCAUAUGUUCAAUGAUCAAUUGGAGAAUUUUUGUGUUAGUCAUCAAUAAGUAAUUGAUGGAAGAUAUAUCCGAUUCUGGAGGAGCUUCUAUUUUCUAUUUCUGGUGUAUUGUCAUAACUUAUACGCUAUUGAAGUAUCUGCCAUUCAUACCAUCUAUAGUGGGAAAGGCGAAGGAGAUGAGGAUCUUUUGGUUUGGUACGUAAACAAAACGUCGAUCUAAAAUUAUAGUGUAUGAGUCAAUCAUGUUCUAAGAGUGUUUACACAAUGUGUAUUGCGACAUAUCGUAUUGUAGCGAUAACUAGUUAUCACAUAGGCACAAUACAACUUGUAAAAUCAUGUAAGGGCCUAUUCGGCCUAAAUUUAAAAUUUGAACUAGAAUUUAAAUUUUGAUAUUUGAAAUGACAAACCAAAUUUCAAAUUAAAAAAUUUAGAAUUUUAAUGUUUAAAAAAUAAUACUUGAAUUUUAAAUUUGGAAGUUAAAAUUUAAAUUUUAAGCUUUAAAAUCUAAAUUAAAAUUUUAAACUAAAAUCGAAAAGUUAUCUAAAGUUUAAAAUCUAAAUUUAAAAUUUACAAUUCCAUAUUUAAAUUGAAAAUUCAAAUUUUAAAUUUUAAAAUUUUGAAUUUUAAAAAUUUAAAAGUUUAAAUUUAAAAUCUAAAUUUAAAAUUUGAAAUUUAAAAUAUAAAAUUUAAAAUUUAAAAUUUAAAAUUCAAAAGUAAAACUUUAAAAUGUAAAGUACCAAAUUUAGAAUUUUAAAAUUUUUUGAAAAAUAUUUGAAUUUUAAAUUAAAAUUAAAAUUAAAAAGUUAUCUAAAGUUUAAAAUCUAAAUUUAAAAUUCAAAAUUCCAAGUUUAAAUGAAAAUUGAAAUUUUAAAAUUUAAAUUUGAAUUUUAAAAUUUAAAGUUAAAAUUUAAAAUAUAUUUUGAAAUUUGAAAUAUAAAUUUAAAAAUAUAAAUAUAAAAUUCAAAGUAAACUUUAAAAAUAAAGUACAAAAUUAUCAUUUAAAAUUUAAAAUUUCAUAUUUAAAUCUAAAUUUGAGCAUUAAAAUUCAAAUUUUAAAUUUUAAAUUUUAAAACUUAAAAUUAAAUUUAAAAUCUAACAUAAAUUCAAAAGUUGAAUAAAAAAUUAAAAUUUAAACUCAAAAUUUUAGUCUAAAAUCAAAAUCAUAUUUCAAUAAGUAGAUCUUAACUACUUUUGAUUUUAGGUCUCUAAAAUUAGAGAAUCGAUUAUAAAAAUCAGAAUCAAAAUUUGAAAGAUAAAUUGUCAAAAGCUCUAUUGAGUAAAAAAUCACUUUUCAUACUAAAAUCACUUUUCAGAACUUAGGCCAAACACUCUCUAAUUUUGUAGUUACUGAAUUACCGUCCUAGAGAUUUGGAUUACGAUCCUCAUUUGUGUUUAUGUAAAUAGAGAUUCGUGUCCCAGCUUCUUGAAUAUAAAUAUAUAGGAUAAAUUUGUGGUUGUUUUCUUCUUGAGACCCUGUCUGCCUCACUCUAUAUAGCUAAAUUUAUUUACUUAAUAAAUGAACCAGAUAACGUGCUACUUUUCUCUCAAAAAAAUUAAUUGUGAUUGUUUGGAAUAAGAACCGACUCAUUCGCAAACUUGGAACACACACAAAAAAAAAGUCAAAAAUUGCUUUAUGCUUCAAUCAACUAGGAUAAAUUAAACGUUUGGUCCUCAAACUAUAAGGUGUGUGACACUUUGGUGUUUAAACAUUAAUAUAUAAUAAUUUUUGGCUCAGACUUUCAGAAUUAUUAUAAUCAAGUCUUAUAAUCCAAUUUAGGGGACGAAUUAUUGAUGUAUAGCCAAUGUAAAAGUCAUGUAGUACAGUUUAAGAUGUCUCAUCAUUUUUAUAUAAACAAUACAUCAAUAUUUAGUCAACUAAAUUUGAUUUAUAAAAUUUGAUUACAAUAAUUCUAAAAAUUCAAAUCAAAAAUUAUUAUAUAUUAAAGUUUGAGGACUAGAAUGUCACCUGCCUCAUAAUUUGAGGACCAAAAGUGUAAUUUACUCCUCAAGUAACAAAUUCAUUCUUUGUUCAUCAUUUUUUUAAAAAAAAUUAAAGAUUACAAAAAAUAAUGAUGCUGAUAUUGUAUUAAAUUUGCAAUUAUUAUAAUAUAAACAAGGUGAUAAAUGGUUGAAAAUAAUUGAAAUUGGGCAUUUAAUAUUUAUUUUAUUCGGAGAAUAAAAACAAAGUUAGAAAAAGAUAUUUUUGUCCACUUUAAAAUGAAAAACCGCGUAACAAAUGGGUCCCACCAAGUUGGAUUGUCCGAUCCAACCAUUGAUAACGUGAACUCUACAUUUUCUUUUUUUUUAAAAAAAAAUUGAGAUUUUCUUAAUUACUAAUUAUUCUAGUUUUAUUUAAUAAUAAGUAAUUAAUUUUUUUUCCCGUAUUUAAAGAACUAAAAUUGUUCAGUUUAGACAAAAUUAGAAGUUUUGAAAUAACAAAUAUAAAAAAAUAAAUAAGUUUGGAGUAAAUUUUAGAAUGGCUUAUAGUCAAGGGUGUAACCGGUUCGGUGUGGUUCGGUUUAUCUUUAUUUUUUAAAUUGAACUAAAUUUUUCAGUUUGGUUAAAUAUCAAACCGAACCAAAUUGAUCUAGCUUCUGAACCGAACCAAAACCGCGAUUCGAGCUACUCAUUUGGUUUCGUUUGGUUCCAAUAUUUGGUUUCAUCUUAUACCUAGAAAAAAAAAAUUAUUUACAAGUUUUCCAUGCUAAAUGGAUUAAUUUACAAGCAUUUUGAAACAAAAAUAAAAUAAAGAUACAAAAAAUUAAAAAACACUCAUCUCAAAUUAUUAUUUAAUAUACACUAAUAUAUAUAUAUAUAUAUAUAGAGAGAGAGAGAGAGAGAGAGAGAGAGAGAGAGAGAGAGAGAGCUAGCCUACUAUACUAUCGGUAGCACGGAGUGCUCCGUGCUACCAAGUUGUUUUCGAUGAUGUGGCUUCCAAAUCGACGAUCGGCUCCGUUAGACUUGAUCUACACUAUUGAAAGUAUUUAGAAACUAAAUUUUAUAAUUUUUCGAUAUCAUUUACCUAUCAAAUAAGUAGUCUAAAAUUGAACGGCUGAAAAUAAAAAUCUCAUAAAAAAUGAUGAUAAAAGAUUUAAAUUCAAAAUCAGAUAUACUGAUCUUACUCUAAAUAGUGAAAAGAAUUUUCUAUAAAAUUUUCAUCGCAUUUGGAUUGUUUUACACCGUUAAACUCACAAACACACCACAUCGGCC
rnacentral:lncRNA from 1 species